rnacentral:lncRNA from 1 species
UUUUGUUUUUCUUAAUUCAUAUCUCAAUUUAACAUAUAAUAUUAUAUGUGAAUAAACAAAACCCAUUCUAACGAAAGAUAUAUUCGGAAACCCCAUAUAAAAUUAAAUUGACGAAUGCAUAUAAAUCAAUCACAAGGCAUGUUAUGUUUUUUUUUUUUUCUUUUUGUUGUUUACAAAAUACAUAUUGAUCAUUUUGUUGAAUAACAUUAGUUUGGUAUUUCCGAAAAAUUAGGUGGAGAAGACCUUACCCUCUGUCUAUUCGAUCGAACAAAAGAAAAAAAAGUUGUGGAUGGUAAGUAAUCAUUUUUAAGGAAUUUUAGAUACUUCUUUUAAAUACUUGUUUAUGGCAAAAGUAAAGGAAUAGUAAAUUAAAUAGUACUCACUCACUCAUCAUUAGACAUUAGAUAACUGUCCAAUGUCUUAUCUUUAAUAAACUUAUGUACGUAUAUAUGCAUCAAACUAGUUAGACCUAACAGUUUGAUCAAGAUCGUGCCAUCUCUUAAGUGUUUUUUGAUGAUAGGAAAAUGACACAAAUCACAUAUAUGCGUAUAUGCGUGUGCAUAUAUAGACUGGAAUGAUCACACGAAACAGACAAGCAAUCUGAGUUUUGGAUGAAUACUAAUUACUUGCUGCUAUUCGUAAUCAUUGUAAUGAUUUGCUAAAAAUCGAGUUAUGCUAUUUUAACUAAUUAAAAAAGAAGCAACCUGUAUUACACAAUAUUCUAAGGUACUCUAUAAUAAUACUUUUAAGGAAUACAUAUAUUUUUUUGUGUUAAGUGAUUUAAAAAGUAUUAGUGAAAAGGUUAGGAGCUUAAUUAUUUAAGUGAAAUUGUAGAUUAGAUGAAUGAGAAACGAAGCUAGAGUCCAAAACUAAAGUAGAGACAAGCCAGUUGGGAUGGUGUUGUUCUAUCUAAGUGCGCGACAAUUGUGCAACUAAUCUACUUUAAUAUUUUCGAAUUCAUAUUAAUUUAUUAAUACGCAUUUUAUACUUCGUAAUUAUUAUUUUUGUCAACUUAUACUUCGUAUUUCUUAAUGUAGUCUGACUAUAUAAAUGGUUAGCGUAGUAGUUGUGGUUUUUAUUGUUUUGACCUGAUCCAUUUAUGGAUUUGGAAAUGUUUCAAAAUAUUGUUACAUCUUUUUCGAAAAUGGGUUUAGGUUUGGAUAUGUUUUUUUCUUUCUAAAGUAAGAUUUUUAAGGUUCGGUUAUCCCCAAAAAAAGUAAGAUUUUAAGGUUACAUAAGAACUAAGCAUGUCUUAAUCAUACCACUCAAUUAAAGGAUCUAAGAUGAUUUUACUAACCACCCCCAAUUACAACUAAAUCAACUUGGAUUUUCACGCCUGUGGCUUUCAUGAUACCAUCACAUCACUCUAUAUUCAAAUUUUAUAUCUUUCUAACUGUAAGUAAAUAGAAAAUACUCGAAAGAGUUGAGUUGAUGAUAUUUGAACCAUAGUUUCAAUUAGUCUCAAGUGAUUCAACUAUAACAUAAUAUCGUACAAUAUUUUUCUUCAAAGAUGAAAACAAAAAUUGUAGAAGGAAAAACAUUUUAAAAAAGGCCACAAAAAUUGGAGUAAACUAUCUCCAGCGUUUCAGUAUAGCACUCAACAGCACAAGGAGGCUUGCAUACCAAGCAACAAAUCUUGCUUCUUACUUUGAACUUUUGUACUCUUAUGCUUUGGUCUUCUUCUUUUUCUUCUUCUUCGUGGGCUCUGAUGUUGCUUUUCUUUCAGACUUUGUAUCAUCCUUCUCGUCUUGGUCUAUCAAAUGCUCGUAUUCUUCAAGACUUGCAAAUGGAGAUUUCCGUUUUCUUUUCUCUUGCUUUUUCUUCUUACCACGACCACCAUCACCAUCAAUAUCAUCAUCAUCACCACCAUCAUCCUCAUCAUCAUCAUUAUCAUUAUCAUUAUCAUCGUCUUCAACAUCUUCACCAUCAAGCAUGUCCAUGUCCAUGUCUGUGUCCAUCUCUGCAUCACUCACAUCAGCCACAAGCUCUUCCUCAUCGUCUCCUGCUACUCUAUCGAGAUCAUCAUAAUCAUACUCACUGCCCUCUUCUUCCACAGCAUUAUCAUCAACAUCAUCCAACAAAUUCUCAAUCUCCUCAUUGUCACUCUCAUCACCACCGUCAAGAUCAUCAUCACUACCGUAGUUUUCUCCACCAUCACCAUCAUUCACAUCGUAAAGUUCUUCAGCUUCUUCUUCUUCAGGUAGCUUCUUCUUCUUCUUUUUCUUUGACUGCUUCGUACUAUUCAUCUUGUUCACAUAGAACUUGUGGAAGACUAGAUCUUCAGGAGCCACGUCUCCUUCUGCUAACGCGAGAAUCUCAGAUCCAAUCACACGGUUUGACAUGUCAAGCUGCACAAGCGAAGAAAGAGAAGAAGAAAUAAACUGUUACAGGUAAAAGUAGAUAACAAAAUGGUUUAAAGCACUAGUUGUUGAGCUUUUUACCUUCUUGGAAGGUUCAAUCUGGGAGCCACCAUGCCAAGUGCUUUGCUUUGGUUUCUUCUCCAUGAAUUUAUCCAAGAAAGCAGUUAAAGAUAAGUCGUUCAACGGGUUUCCGUUGUAAACAAUAUGUGUUCCUGAGAGAAGGGUUCCAGCCAUUGUAGCUACCGAGGGGUGAGCAUGUUUUGAAAGAACCACCAACUCCCACCAACUCGCACGGUCUGCGUUACUGUUAAUUGGAGAUCAAGGAUUUAGUUUCAACCAAGAACGCUUAAACAUAUUAUCAUUGUUCCAAGCAAAGCUUAUCAGAUUUAUUUAGAAAAAAAGCAGUAUAAUUUAGAGAUUAACUGACCAGUAAGAAGGUUCUCUAUGACGAGGAUCAUAUCCUCCAGGAAGACAAAUCGAUUUGAUUGGUGGUUGGCUUCUUUUUUCUAUAUCAUUAGAAACUUCUACAGUUUCUUGACGCUCAUGGGGAGUUUCCUUUAUAAACAGCUCUUCAGAAUCAUCAGAAGCAUAGUCAUCUUCUUCAUCAGAUUGCCUGCCUGCCAAGGCCUCUUCGUCAUCUGAAGAAGAAUCACCAUCUUUACCUGUAACUUCGCCACCAUCAUUAUCAACUUCAACAUUGCUCUUGUUCUUCUCUGCUUCAUUAUUGGGAUCAAUAUCAUCUCCCUCUAUCACAUCCUCAAAAUGUUCUACAUCAUCUUCUUCAUCAACUGAUUCCCUCUGAACCACCAUCUUCCUGCAAGGUAAAUAGACGAACCAUUCUAUCACCAGAUAAAAGCCAUGGAUAUAUGGUUAACAAAAUAAAAAAAAAGCUUACCAUAGAGGUGGUCUCGCUUUUAACACUUCAGACAAAAGGAAUAGGUAUGCACAGGCAUACUGUGGUGGCUGCUGAAGCGCUACCUACUCAAAUAUUUAAGAGUAAACAUUAGAGAUAACAAACAGAAAAAACUCGUACCCAGAGAAUGUCAACACCAAUAAUUCAUAUAACAAAAUAAUCAAGAUUCCUGUAUAGGAUGAAUGAUAUGAAUUUUGUUGUCAUUGUCAAUGAAACCAGAGCUACCAACGAUGGGGUUGAUAAAUUAUUUAAUUCAUGUUACCAACCUGCACGAGUCUUUUGGCGAAGGCAGCCACACGCUUCACAUUUAUAUCAUUUUUCAUGGCUCUGAGAAGAAGCCCAAUCAACAUUUCAGCCUGAAAAUUAGGAAUGCCAGAUUAUUAAUCAGGGUUAUGAAGAAAAGCCUGUGCAUCCCAGGGGAAGUACAUCAGUAUUUUUAUCACAAGAUAAAAUGGUUUUCACACAAUUAAAUAUGUACGAAAUGUGCAUACGCCAACACUCUGCAACCAAUUUCGGGCUAUACCAAAUUGUAAGGGUGAUUAUCCAUUCACAAACAAAGAAUAAUAUGACGUGAUGUAAACACAGAAAAACAGAAGCUUCAAAAUUUAGCUUGCCUUAGAAGAGUUCAUUGCAGAGGGAAGGAGAAGUUUCGAGUACAAUGCACGGUAAAACCUGUCACUGACAAUCUUAUUCUUGGAUGAGAUCUUGUCAAGAAGCAUCAGUGAUUGAACUCCCACAUUGAAAUUCUUUGAGUGUACCUAGAUGAAUUCAAGAUCCCAUUUUCUUUAUUAAUUUUCUGUUGCAACUAAUGAAACAAAACUUAUACGCUGAAUCAUUAGGAAUUACCAGUUUAAAAAGCACCGGCGUCUGGGAUUCAAUAAUAUCAUCGGCUGCGUCAGCGGAAACAUAUGGAAAAGCUCUGUUAACUCCCUGCAAUAACGGGAUAAGGUAUAAGUUCUGUAAAGUCUCGAUGCUAUAAUAUCAUGUAUACAAAAAUAAAAACAUCCGGACUAACAGUUAGUAAAGCUGAUAAAAUUCUGGAAUCCAAUUCAACAGGUGAAUCAGAUGGUGACUCUUGUUUUGCGUCCUUUGGGUUGGCAUUUUUCUUAUCAGCAACUCCUUUAUCAUCUGCGCCUUGUUUCCUAGUUGCUUCAGUGGUUAAAACCUACAAAAAUGCAAACAUACUCCUGUAUCUCAGAUUUGAGUAUCCAACGGGUGAAAUAUUUUAUGUUAAUGACACCCCAAAAGAAAACAUUUAGGGGAGAGGUCUCCGAGAUCAUGAGAACGGAAGUUGGAGAUGGAGAGGCAAAAAAAAUUAAGAUCACAAGAAAAUGUUUGAUCUUUCACUUAUUUAGAAGUUAAAUGCCAGUUAUAUUACCUUAAAUAGAGCAAAAUAUACAUCAAUUAGGCGUUUUGCCACCUUUGGAUCAUCUCCUUUGUGGCUUAAUCGAAUUUGACUUAAAAAGUUAACCUGUGAAAUUUACAUGGAUUAAUAAGCAUGGUUUAAGAAAAGCUAAAAGCUAAGUUAUAAUACCCUUCUUUUGUAACGUCUCAGUUAAAUAGUUUCCCAUUCAGGUCUAAAGAAGCCAAACAUUACACUUUAGAUGGUGAUAACCAUGAGAUGAACAAGAAAACGUAGAAAAACGGUUAUCGUGAAUCUAAUUAGAAUAGGAUAAUGGAAACGUAUCUUGUGCUGAAAAUAUAAACAGUAAAUAAAGGACAUACCCCAUGAUAUUUUGCACGUAAUCCAAGAUGAGGUCGAAAGAGAAAGGAGUCAACUUCAUCAAUCACCACAGCCUGCAAAGAUAAGUAUACAGGUAAGCCAAAGAGAAGAGGCCAAAAGAACAAGCAAUCAAAUCCUCAAACUAGGCAUAGAAAGGUUGAAUAGCCGCACCUUCAUAUUAGGAUGAUCAGCCAAAAGAUUUGUCAGGUGAUAAUCAGCAUUAGAUGCACUCUUGUUUUGGGGAUCCCCCAACUGUGUAAAGUAAUCCACAGAACAAUUUAAGAAAUCACAGCUGAGAAAAUUUAAUUCAAUAUAAAUAUUUGAAAGAACAAUUGACAAUACCUUGUUCACCAAUGACACUAGCAAUUUCCGCUCUUGUUCUGAUUUGCUUGUCAGCAUGAAAUAUAUAGUCUGAAACCAAACCAAACCAAUAUUAUUUACUUAAAAAAAAAAUCUAGAUCACGUACCAAGCAAAAAAACUCACUGUCGCCAUAAGAAAACCAAGCUACAUGCAAUUAUGCAUCAUCCAGAGAAGGAUUACAUGAUAAUACUCAAAUGUCUAAUUUGAUAGCUCAUCAAGAAUCUAACAAACCCUGGAGACUAGUGCUACUAAAGAAGCUAGGGCCUGCAGAGUGGUGAUAGGAUAUACCUUUAAAGCCUUGUCUUUAAGCUCUGGGAGCAUAUCUUUAGAUGAUUCAUCAAGAGCGUUGACAAAUCGCUCAUACCUACAAAAUCAGCAUAAUAAGCCUGUUAACUGAAACACCAAUCCAGAACUAUUACCAAUAGAAGAUACAGAUCUUGGAAAAACGAUAAACACAUCCCUCGUGGUAUGAUUUAAGCUAAAUAUAUUUUGAAAGCUUUUGGGAUGUAUAUGCUCUCUGGUAAUGUUCUAUUUUCUCCUUUUUCUAGUGAGGCCAUCAAAGGAAGCCUAAGAGAGCAACUUGAUGGAGUAACUACGACUAGAAGCAAAAUGAUAGGUUUUCUUUACCUCUGUUUCAAGCAGUCCUCCCAGUACCAAAAUAGCAAAAGCGAGUAACCAUCCUUAUUUUCCGGAAUGCUGUUUAAGGGUCGUUGUAAAAGUGUCUUCAACUUGCGAUCAGGUAAUAACCUGGAAACAAAAAAAGAGCUCAAUUAAUGAGAAAAAAAAUGCAAGACUCAUACGAAUUUGAACACAUUAAUUUUAUAGCACAGUACAAGAGUAAGAAAUAUGUGCCUGAUCAAAAUUUCUGAUAGAGCCUUAAGACCCUUAAAUGCAAAUCUUUUUCCAACCUUUGAGGUCACCAUUCCUGCAAUGAACAUAGUAGAUAACAUGAACAAAAAGCUACAGAGGAUUUCACCAUUCGGAAACAAAUAGAAACUAAAUUAACCUAUAAAAAUACUCGUUCCAUUGAAUAGAAAGAUCACAUUUUUCUUGGAAACGAGAAACAUACCCAAUAAGGCAUCAAGAGACCUCAUAUUAGCAAUAGGAUUCUCUCCAACCAUGAUCUCAAAGGCAGUGAUUUUAUCAGCUACUGUCCCUGACUUUUGAGCAGAAAUCACCAUCUUCAUAUCUCCACCCUUUCCUUUGGAAGUUACAAAGUCCUCUGCGUAUUGCCACAUCAACCUCUCUCCUAAUUCUCUCUUCUUCUCCACCAAACCCUUCAAAUCCUCCUUAUUCGCCACUUUCCGGCCACCAAAGACCUUCUCCUCCAGCUCCGCCGCAUCGUUGUACCAAUCCGAGCUCAAUAAACUCGCUUUCACCAAAGGUAACUUAGGCAAACCCUUGAAUUGAUCGAAACGUUUCGCCUUAACUCCAUUACUAUCAUCCUCAAUCGAUAAAAAUCCAGGCUUUGGCUUCGGCUGUAUGGUUUGUUUCACCGGCGCAUCUUUGUUUGGCCUCUUCGCUUCGAAAUCCUUGCCCUUUUCAUUUCCAGCGUUCGAUUUAGGCUUCCUUGUGUCUUCUCCUUCUUCAACCUUCUGAUCAGAAUCGACAUUCUUAGGUUUUCUCUUUCUCUGCUUUUUGGGUUUUAGAGGUUUUCUGAAAUCAGUGUCGUUGAAACCCGAAGAAGGAAGAGAUGAAGCUAAACCAAUAGACGAAGCGAACGAUGCGAUAUCAGAUGUGAGUAGGCUCAAGUCCUGCGAUGAUUUACUCAACGGCUUUGUCUUGGACAUUGUUGUUUUUCAAAGCAUACGAACUGAACAGAGUUCUGGGAGUUUGCAGAAAAUUAGGGUUUAUCUGCAAGGACGGAGACAAUUAGGUUUAAUUCCAAUCUCAAUCUGUGCUUUUGAGAUUAGACAGUGAGAGAAGAAAGAAACCUUCAAUGUGGGUUUUGGGGUUCUUCUUCUACAAAGCUUUUUGCUAGGGUUUUAGAAAACGGCACGAGAGAGCAGACACAGAGAAUGGCAGAAGUGUAAUUUAAUCAAUCAUACGGGGAUUAGACAAGGGCAAAACAGACUUAACAGCUAAAUCUAAUUGUCUCCGUGUUCUUUCAGGAACAAAAAAAAAACUAGCUUCGGAAGCCCAAUACAUGUGUUAUGUUCUAGACUUAUAAAAAAACAAAACAUUUUCCUUUUAACAUUUUGGAAAAAAUAUAUAUAUACUAGCAAAAAGAAGUUCAUAACUAGUGAGAUUCGAUCAUGUGAUUAUUAUUUUUUCCCAAUAGAAGGUUAUCAAAAUGACAGUUUUAAAGAAUUUAAUUCAUAUCUUGUAAAUAGGAAUAACAAGUACCAUCAAUUAUGUGGAAAUAUUAUUAGCUAAUCGAUACAUUAUAAAUCAUUCAGAUUGGUCCAAAAAAAAGUAUGGAAGAAUAGAAUAUAUAUAAAUAUAUAAAUAUAUAUUUGGCUAGAAAUCCUAAACAACUGAAACAACAAACAUGAAUUCGUGAGUUUUUUAUAUGUCCUAUAUCUUCAGCUCAACAUCUUUGGAAGACUGUCCUUCUUAAUAUCUUGCCCCAUAUGAUUAAAUUAAGUAUGGGCCUUGGGUUUUGGAGGGGUUGCAAAGUGUCCUGAGGAUUGCCCUGCCUUUGGCGAUGGACUGACCAUAUCCGGCUUGGGAGGAAGAUGCCCACCGUUUUGGUUCACUUGAUAUGGAGCUCUAGCCACAGCCCUGAAAUUCAUAACCCCAACAAAAAUCACUUGUCAGCACUUUCAUGAUUAGCUCAAGUUUCUCAUGUCUAAUUCCAAUGUGACCAACUUAUUAUAUUCGAUAUUAUGACCAAUAAUUCAUGUAAAGAUUGCAAGUUUAGUGUACAGUACCUGUCUUUUCGUUUAGCAAAGAAUCGAUGAAGAGAAGCUCUUCUUGCAAUGCGUUCCACGCCCUGAUGUUGCUGUCCUGUUUGUUGACCUUCAUUGUUCCCUGAACUAUUUGGCUCGUUCAGAUCAGGAAUGACCACAUUGCUUUUGCUGAUGCUAAUGUUCAUGUCAAGAUUCAUGUGGUCCUCAGUCUGAAUCUGAGUCUGAGUCUGAGUGUUCUUCGAAUCAACAUGAAUAGAUUUUUUCGCUACUUCGAUUAUCUCCUUUGCCUUGUCUUCAGGAAACUCGUUAAAAACCAUAACUUUUCCUCCGAAGAAUAUGGUCAACUGUGAAUUACCAGGCUCCGGUACUACUUUUUCCGGUUCACUGAAAUCAAAUCAAACCCCGUUUGUCCCAUUAGUCAAACUCCACACAUCUAUAACCGGUUUUAACCGCUACUCUUUUCUCUAAUUCAGUCGCUACAAAAUGUAAUUAAAAAAAAAAAUAUAUCUAUCAAAAUAUGAAAAAGCGAGUUUGAGCACAUAUAAAGUUUUAUAUGUAAGGUACCUGAGAUCAACAACAUCUAUGGCUUUGCAUCCAGAAGAAGUAGAGGCUUCACCAUCAGAAAGCUUCUGAAUCAACUCGAAAGAUCUGGUUUCUGCCUUCUUAAUUACAUCUUGUUGUCCUAAAACAAACCAAAAAGAUCACUAACCGAUCAAACUCUUAAGUUUCACCAAAGUUUAGUUCUUCUUUUUCACGUUUUCUUAUAAACCUUCCCAAAAUCUUUAACUAAACAGUAUAUAUAAAAGAAUCUAUCAUGCUCAAGAUUAGAGGGACAACUAAAAGAAAACAGUUGGUUUCAAUUAUUUGAUCUUAAGCUCUAGCAUAGGACCAAAAUCGUAUAACACGCAUAUUGAAUAAUCAACGAACCAGAGAUUCUAAAAAAUACAAUAAAAAUAUUGGUCUUUGUCGGCGGCGGCCGUUGAAGUAAAUUAAAAGGAGAUUAAAAAAUAUAUAUAUACCUUUGAGGUCGAAUUUUCCGGCGAGCUCAAGAUCGGAUAUUCGAGCCAACCCGAUAUUAAUAUUCCCAAAACUUCCCUUCUCCUUCAAGUACCGGCUGAGCAAACUACACCUCUGAGAAAAAUUGGAUUUCUCCGGCGCUUGUCCCGUCGACGACAUACUGAUGAUUAAUGAGUAUUACAAAAAAAAAAAAACACUCUAAAGAUUUUGCGUGUAGCUUACACGUAAAAAGAUCAAAGGAUUACAAAAAAAGUAUAAACGUCUUGAAGCUUUUUUUGCUGCUCAUGUGUAAGUUAUAUUUUAGCCAAUAGGUUUCUGUGGCUUUUAACCUCUCACGAAUAAAUAAAGAAAACAUAUAACGUGUUUUUUUUAUAUAUAUUCUAUUUUUUUUUUAUUAAAAAUCGUAUAAGUGACAGUGAUCGGGGUCCAAUAUAAAAAACGGUGUCACGAGGUUUUUUUUUUCCUUACACCUAACAUAUAUAUCCCAAGUAAUCUUAGAGUAACACAAUGUUAUGUAGAGAUUUACGAUGAUUCAAGUCCUCCAUAACGAUGGUUCAAUUCCUCCAUUACGAUGGUCGAUGGUUCAUGUUCAAGUCCUCCAUUAAAGAUGAGUUUUCUUUUAUAUCCUAAAUAAUAUAGAUGUAGCAAUGCACAGUGUUAUGUAGAGAUUUACGAUGGUUUAAGUCCCCAAUUUACGAUGGUGAGUACAAUAAUUAAUAUUAAUGAUAAAUAAAUAAAUAAAGUACAGGGCUAUUAAGUGCCUACAUGUCGUUAGAAAUAUGUCACGGAGUGAAUGAAAAGACAACAUAAGAAAGAGUAAUCCAAGAAUCUAACCAACGUUUUGUUACAAAGUUCGUGCACGUUUUCCUUGCGCAAGCCGUUGGAUAUGUUUGUUAAAAGAAGAAUAAAAGAAGAAACUAGAAAAAAAAAGGGUAAUAGAGUCGAAGGCGACGUUAUUGGAAGACAUUAAUCAAUUUUUUUUUUGGUUUGGGAAAGAAAGAAAAAUCGUCGGGGGACCGAGAGUUACUGCUGGCUAGUAAUUGCGGGAUUCGUACUCGUUUGUUUGGUGGUGGCACAUCCGUUAUUAGAGAGCGUAGUCGAGGGUGUUUUAAAGAACCAUAAGUCUAACGUAGUUGUAGUCUUGCGUCGGCUGAUGGCUAAAUAAAUAAUACGACUCUUCAACAAAUAAGUGGGGCAAACAGUAGAACUUGUGAAUGGAAUCAUCAUAAUGCAUGGAUGGAUGGGAGAAGAAUACUUAUCCCCGACAAAGUUUAUAGGACACGUGAAGUAUAGUUAUGUUACAUUUAGGAUGUCAACAUGUGUCGAAAUCUUAGCGGUACCAACCUUAAUACAUGCGUGAUUUGCGUUUUUCUCUCUUUCUCUUCUUUACUUAAAGGACAAGAUAUUGUUUACUUUUUGUGCUAAGUAUGUUGUUGUCUAUCUUUCUUUGGAAAUGUUUUGGUGACCUUUUUUAAAUUGAAAAAAAAAAACGAAAGAAUUUGUCAUACUUUGUAGUUCUUGUUUUUGUUCUUUCGGUUUGUAAUUGUUAUUUCUGAGAUUCUAUGAAUUUUUGGUUUUAUUUUGGGAGAGAUUUUGAUUUUUACCGUUUUACGUAUUUUCGUACUUGGAAUAUUAAUACCUUUUAUAUCUUUUAACCAAAAAAGAAGAAUUAAUAACUUUUUUGUUUUCGGUUUCUGUAUUUUUGGUUAGGGAUUAUUAUUUUUGAAAUUCUAUGAAUUCAUUAAUUUCGUUUUCGGAUAAAUUUUGAUAUUUGUUGGUGUUUUAAACUUUAAUAAAAUAAUAUUUUUUUGCAAAUGAUUUAUAUUUUCCUUUGUAUAAAAUACGUUUAAAAAAGUAAUCGAUGUCCCAUGAUGAAAUUUGUUUUGUGCUAAUAAAUUAUUAGAAAUACAAUGAUUAAUUCUUAACUUCUUUGUUUAGCAAAGGUCGAGGAGGGGGGUUGAAUAUUCUUUGAAUAAGAUUCAAUGCCAAAGAGACACCAAUAAAGAAUUUUUAAAACAAAUGUCGUAGACGAUGGCGCCAAGGGGUAAAACAUCAUUGUUGUUGUUUGAAUUAUUCAGCCCAACUUGCAAGACGAGUACAUAAUACUCUGAACUUUGUAGACUCUUCUUCCAUAUAUUAUCUUUCAACAGUUGAACAACAACUUGAGUCUAAUAUAUAUAUAUAUAUAUAUAUAUAUAUAUAUAUAUAUAUAUAUCUAUAUAUGGUUUUAUAUUUUUAGUUGUGCUUUUAUAAAAUCCAUUGUCAUCUCUCAACAAAAAAAAUAGAAAGAAAAAAAUCACAUGAAGAUUAUCUACAUUGUUUGAACUUUGAAGGUUUCGAUCACAUAUUUGAAUAUAUCCAAUAAUAAGGGAAUGUCCUAUUCCAACAGCUUUGAAUUUGCGAAAUUCAAGAUCGUGAGAAGAUUCUACUGAGACUACGACACUAAUGGUGAAACCCUUUCAUCAGUCCCCACUCAUGUUUAACAAAACUCUCCCCUUACACAAUUGAGUGUAUCAACUACAAAUUACAUAUAUCAAAGAGUUUGAGACUAACUAUAUAUACUGUAUAUGGACAUAAUCUAGAUGUCGUGGAGUUUUUUUUUUUUUACUUUUUCUUGAAGCUAUUGACUCAUAGUUUCCAAUUUCUUUUCUUUCUCAGUUCUCAUACUUUAGAUACUUCAGUCGACUGUUUGGCUUAGUAAGUCAGACAUAAUUAUUUUUUUUUUCAUAUAUAUAAACUGGUUCAGUUAUUUGAAAAUCUAAUAUAUUUCGUAGGUCGACCCAAAAUAAAAACCUACAUUGUUGUAAUUAGUUAUGGCAUUUUCCUCAACUCAACUGCAAAUUGUAUAUUAUAUAAUUUAAUGCUUUCAUAUGACAAUUUUCGAAGAUUAUACAAACACUCAUCUGCAUUGACGUGUGUGUGUGUGUGUGUGUGUGUCCACUAAGCAUAACAUUUGCGUUUAAAAAUUACGGUUAACGAAUGUACGUAUAGGGCCGCUACAAAUGUAUAACAAUGACUACAACAAAUGGGUUUCUUCGACACCGACAGAUACCUUUGGAUGUGAACGUACACCAAACAAUUGCAGUUUCUUCACAUGCUCCUCUUGUAGUAUGACGAUAACAUAUGUGCCUAAAGACAAUUACAUGUUAACAAGUAUGCAUGCAUUGCAUAUGGAUCAAAAAUAACAUUUUUUCUAGCGAUAUAUAUUAUUCGAAAUUGAAAUCUGAUAAUAAUGCAACGCGACACUAAUUCAGUCAAACUGUUAUGAUUAUAUUUGGUAGGUCAAUUUGUUUUAGAAAUGUUUUUAAUAUAUAUAUACUGUAUGUUAGAAGUUAAUUACUAUAUAUGUACGACACAGUUAUUUAACAUGUAAUUAAAUUUGAUUACAUGUUUUUAUCGCAUUGGAUUAUAGAUUUGCAAAUCCAUUAAUGCAUGGUUUUAAUAUGAGAUAUAUGAUUUUCUUACAAAGAAAAUAAAUAUAUAAAUUGAGAAUUGAUUGUACAACGGAUUUGGCCAUAGAUUAUCGAUGUCCCGUCGCCUUCAUUGCUUUCCUUGGCUUCUUUGUUUAUCUGCAUUAUCUUCAAGCUAGCCAUUACGUUCUUUAAUUAAAGUUUUAGCAUUGGAUUCUUUUUUAUCAUCCUCCUUCCUUGAUAAAAGUUAUAUAGAAUGGAGGAUGAGAAGGUGAGAUGAACACGAUAGACUUUUUGUUUGUUUGUUAACAUAUAUUACAUGAAAAUCGCAAAAUGCAAAUGGGAGAGAAACUAGCUACUGUAUAUGUCCUAAUCCAACUGCAAUUCUAAUCAACCUUCCAGAUCUUAGUAAGUUAUAUUUUUAUACAUCCUUUAGAUUUUUGUUUUUUUUUUUGCUAAGCAAGUAAAUAUCCUGAUUAGAUGAAGAGUUAAAAGUGUUACAAAUUUGGAAGACCUAAAAAGCUUGAACCUUAGCAAAACCGUUACACACAAGAAAUAGGAGAUGAAAAUACACAUAUUAAAUUGUUUACCCACAUACCCUUCAUCUACUGACUAACAUAAGAUAGUGACAUCCAAAUGAAAGAGAAUUUGUUCAUAUGAUCAAGAGGAGAGGAUAAGUAUAUAUACUUUUACUUGGUAUAUUCCAGUGUAAAUAGUAUUUGUGUCAAUUGUAUAACUCGCUCAAUCCAGCAGAACACAAGUAGUGUUUGAGUAUUCCUUGCUUAAUCAUGCAUAAGUACAUAAAACUUUUUACUUGUGUUCUAAGACACUUCUAUAUGUUUAAAUAAUUAUUUACAGAAAUAAAAAAUCAAAUUUGUCCGAGUAUGGGCUUGGAAACAAAAAGGAAUCAACACCAGUAAGCCAUAUGGGCUUCUACAAAUAAUGCAUACUUUAUAUUGGCUUUUGCUUAUCUCAAUCUUGACUCUUUCAACGAACAUUCGCGCCAUAAGCUCCUAAGUUCCUCUCAUCCAAUGGAUCACAUAUGACAAAGAAAAAAAAGAAAAGACAGAGAAAACAGAGACAGAGCGAGAAACAAGACAAGGGAUACAAAAUUUUAGUAAAUCUAAUCAACCAAACAAAAAAAAAAACACUUUGAUUAACCAAAAAAAAAAGAAGAAGAAGAAGAGUUUCUUGAAACUCACGGUGGCCUAGCUCCGGUUAAGUAAAUGGCCGUGGCCUGGCUAAUCUGGCCGUUCGUGCUAUCUCUAACAGCACUAUCCGCAAAUUCGAUAACAGAAACAGAAUCAUUGUUGAACUUCAAGAAGUCAUUAACCAACACCAAGUCUCUUGAUUCUUGGACAAUAGAUUCAGAGCCUUGUGGAGAAAGCAACCGAUGGGUCGGAUUACUCUGCAACAAAAACUCUGUCUUUGGUCUUCAAAUCGAACAGAUGGGUCUAUCAGGAAACAUCGAUGUCGCUCCUUUAGAAGACCUACCUUCUUUACGAACCAUAAGCAUAAUGAACAACUCUUUCUCCGGUAACAUACCCGAGUUUAACCGAUUAACCGCUCUGAAAUCAAUUUACAUAUCGGGUAAUCGCUUUUCUGGUAACAUUCCUUCUGACUAUUUCACAACGAUGGUGUCGCUAAAGAAAGCGUGGCUGUCAAACAACGAGUUCUCUGGUCUCAUUCCUAUCUCAUUGGCUACCGCAUUGCCAAAUCUAAUGGAGUUACGCCUCGAGAACAAUCAAUUCAUCGGUACUAUACCGAAUUUCACACAGACAACUUUAAAUGAUGUCGAUCUCUCAAACAACAAACUAACCGGAGAAAUACCUCGCGGUUUGUCUAAAUUCGAGGCCAAGUUUUUUGAAGGGAAUUCUCGUCUUUGCGGUGCGAAGCUAGCAACUGCCUGCCCACAACCAAGAAAUGCGACUGCGUCGGUUACAAUAGACGGAACACUAAAAGAUGCAAAUAAGAGCAAAUACUUUCUAGCAUUCGGGACAUUAGGAGUUCUUCUUCUCGUUGUUCUUAUCUCCUUAGCUUUCAGGAAGAAAAAGAAGAAGAGACGUAGGAAGAAGGCACUUCGUACCUCUGAACAAGACAGUGCUGAUGACCAACAAAUUCAGGUUAAAUUCCAUUACACGAAACUUCAUAGCUUUAAAACAUUAAAACAGAGUGUGUUUUUUUUUUAAUAUAACAAAACUAACAAACAAAAAAACAACUUCUUGAUAUGAUUGAGUCAGAUAACUGUUGAUGAAUCGAAGAGUAGCUCGAGGCAUAGUAAGGGUAGUCGCUCGGGCGAAUUGACGAAUAAAUCAACGGUUGCAGCAGAGCUGGUUAUGGUGAACAAAGAAAAGGGUGUUUUUGGUUUAACUGACUUGAUGAAGGCAGCAGCUCACGUGCUCAACAAUCCCGGAGGUGGAAGCAGCCGUCCUAGCAGCAACGGAGGCGUGGGAUCUGCAUACAAAGCGGUGCUUUCAAACGGCAUCACGGUGGUGGUGAAGCGUGUGACGGUGAUGAAUCAAGUGAGUGUUGACGUGUUCGACAAGGAAAUUACGAACUUGGGAACCUUGCGACACAGGAAUGUAUUAACACCUCUUGCUUACCAUUUCCGACGGGACGAGAAACUACUAGUGUUCGAAUUCGUCCCUAAUUUGAGUUUGCUUCACCGAUUACACGGCGAUCACAGUGAAGGAUUAGAUUGGCCAUCGAGACUCAAAAUCAUUCAAGGAGUAGCUAGAGGAAUGUGGUAUCUCCAUAGAGAAUUAGGUUUUCUGAACCUACCACAUGGAAACCUAAAAUCAAGUAAUAUAUUUCUUGCCGAAGACGGCGAGCCUCUAGUCUCCGAAUUCGGACUCCAAAGACUGAUCAAUGCCGACGCACUAUCUCAGUCUCUCGUGGCGUAUAAAUCUCCAGAAGCGGAACGUAGAGGAACACUCUCGGCGAAAUCCGACGUGUUCAGUUUCGGAGUGGUGGUUCUUGAGAUCUUGACAGGAAAGUUCCCGUCUCAAUACGCCGGUUUGGAUAGAGCCGGUGGUACGAAUUUGGUGGAGUGGAUUGGCUCCGCCAUGGAACAAGGUGGUUGGAUGGAUCUACUUCAUCCGACGGUGGUUAACGCUGCCGCUGAUGAUAAGAUCAUGGAGGAAGAGAUUGAGAACGUUUUAAGGAUCGGUGUCAGAUGUACCGGAGAAGAUCCAGAUCAGCGACCAAAUAUGACCGAAGUCAUCGAUGAACUAACGAUUGAAGAUUCUAACGACGACUUCAUCACCAUAGAAACUUAGCUUCACAUUCAUGCAUGCAGAUUCACCAAUUUUGUUUUUUUUUUUUUUUAAACUAUGCUUUUUUUUGUUUUUAAUUCGAUUCUCUCUAAAUUUGUAUAUGAUUAAAGUAUCAUCAACUUAAGGCUACUUGUAAACAAAAGAACUAAAGAAGUGUGUUUGAACGUUUUGAGAAUAGAUUAGUUAUCAGAUUGUAAUCUUGUUUUGUUACCACCUGUUGUAACCUUUGGUAAGUAAUAUUAACACACACCAUUAGCGAUUUGCUGUUUUUUUAUUACAACUUGUAAACUUUAAUUAGUAUUGAAACACACAACAUUUAGCGAUUAAGUAAUCAAUGGAAGUAUCGAAUUACGAACCAAUGAUAUGGCCAUAUCACGUGUUUGUAAUAUACGUACGUGAUGAAGAAAAGAAAAAUAUGAUAAAACUGAAUUGUAUUGACAGCUAAACACAGCUGUAGAUUAACGAAUCGUGAGAAAUUAUUAUUGCUUUUUAUUUUAUCUUUGUCUAUCAUGGAAAUGAUGGCGAGGAUUUAUAGAGACAUCUAAGUUAAGCAGACAACAAAAGACCCAUCACUGCAUUUGAUUAUUAAUCAUCACUCAUAUUCUAGGAACAAGAAAUUAUACGAGUACGAAUAAAUUAUAGUAUUGUGUUACUAUGAUUAUCUUAUUAAAUGAUAUUAAUAAGAUAUCUAUCUAUGCUCACUGAACCAGGACAAAAAAAUUCAUGUAUUUAGUGAAUUCUCUCAAACAUCAAAUCAAAGUAUAACAACUCGUAUAAAGUUUUUUUUGGGUUGUCUUGAAAGAUCGUGAUGAUUAUUAAAUUGGACACAUCUAAUGACAUUUGCUAACCCAAUAAAUGUUUUGCAUAAGAUGAGCUGUUCACAUUACAUUGGAUUUAUUUAUUAGGUUAGGACACCAUUUUUGUGUUAUCUUUAUAAAAACGUCAUCGAAUUGAACUUGUACUCGUAUUGUUUUUUUUUUUUAAUAAGUCUUAAAUAAUAAUGUAUAACUGGCUAAAUCCAGCAGAGCACCACUCGUGCAACAUUAUUUUUUCUCGUGUAAUGUAAAACUGACUUCAUGUUUCUAGACUGUCCCGUAUCAAUAAUUUAAGUAUAAAAGAUCAUUAAUAAAUGUUUCCCACUGUAAUUUAACAAAAAAACGACUAGCUCAACAUUAAUAUCAUUUGUUCGACAAACAAAACAAUAAUUUAUGAUAUAAAUGAUCUUAUAUUACAUCCCACCUAUAAGAUGGAAAUAAAAUUUAGUUUAUCAUUAAAAAGGAAAUUAAUAGCAUUAGCCAUUAACGUUAACAAAUUGUGUUGUGAAAGUAUAUUUUUUAAAAUGUGUCACCGUGAAUCUUUAAAAAAGGCAUAAUGCAUGGGAAAUCGGGUGCAAGCACGUGAAUGUCGGCCCAUUGCAGCAGUCGAAUAGUUGACUUACUACCUUCUUCAUAUGAUUCUUUUUGGAGUACUAGUAUUUAACAACACAUUUUAUUUUCUCCCCUUUAUUUUUUUUUUAAAAUUUGUUUUCAACAAAGUUUAACCAAAUCAAUAAAAAAAAAAUUGGAAUGGUAACAUAAACCAAUAAACGAUUUUUAAUACAUAAAAAAAUUAUAAGAUAUUUUCCUUUGCAAAUUUUAGGGUAAAGGAAAAUAUCUUAUAAUUUUUUUUAUAUUCCUAAAAUACUUGCAUUAAGGAUGAUCUAAAUACCUAAAAAUAAGAUAUAUCACGAAAAAGACAGAAUAAAAAAAUGUAUUUUUUAGUAAUUAAUUAUCAAUUGUAAAUUAGAUUUAAUAAUUAAUUAUCAAAUUAUUAAUUUUCAAUCAUAAUAUAAUUUGUUUAAUUUUUUUUUUGUUGGUGAAGAAUCUAUAGAUGAAAACGUUGGAUUUAACUUGAAAAAGGCGCUUCCCAUGACGGUUAAGAGCUGUUAAAAAGCAUCUUCAAAAAUAAAAAUAAAAACUUUGGACGUAUUAACUUUUUUUUUUUUUUCUUAAAGCUUAUACUCUGUUGCUUUUUUUAAGUUUCGUUUCAAGUCUCCAUCAUAAGAAAGAAGAACUCUUUCCAUUGUUGCACUUUUUUUUUGUGUUCUUCUUCUCUGUGUUUUGCUAUCAUCAUCACUCGCAUGAAACAAUGGACCAAACUCACGGCGUCGACGGGCUCGAAGACUGUUCUGUUUCCGGUUUCGAAUCAGCUGAGAAAGUUAUCAUCCGAUGGGACGCCACAGCUUCCGAAGAAGCUAGAGAGAAGAUGAUCUUCAACGAUCCGCUAGAAGUUAAGCUUUACCUCAACGCCGUCGACGAAAUCCAAAAGUUCGUUUCUUCCGGCGGAGAUAUCGAGAACCGAGCUAACUCAGCUAUCCAGAUCGCCAUGGCUCGUCUCGAAGACGAGUUCAGGAACAUUCUCGUCUCUCAUAGCUCUCCGAUCAACUCCGAUUCUCUAAUGUUGUCUUCUUCUUCUUCCUCUCAGCUUGAGGUUGACGAAGACGGAAGCAGUAGUAAUAAUGGUAACAGUAACGAAGACGAUGAGCAGGAGGAAGAAGAAACGGAUCUUCUGAAACGAUCCGGUUCGAGUGCUAGUACCGGUUCAGCGGCGGUUCGUUUACCAACCGGAAGAGGUAGUUACAGUAGAUCUACUAGUAGUAUACGCGAGAUCGAGCUGAUUCCGAUUGAAUCCGUCGUUCAUCUCAGCUGGAUUGCUCGCCGUAUGGUCUCAGCUGGUUAUCUCCGUGAGUGUAUUCAAGUUUACGGUAGUGUUCGCAAAUCCGCCGUUGAUUCGAGUUUCCGGCGGUUAGGGAUCGAGAAACUUAGCAUCGGAGAUGUUCAGAGGCUGAACUGGGAAGCGCUUGAGCAGAAGAUUCGCCGUUGGAUCCGAGCUGCUAAGAUCUGUGUGAGAGUCGUGUUCGCGAGCGAGAAAUUGCUCUGUGAGCAUGUUUUCGAAAGCGUCGGAGCUGUUAACAUACACGAGGCUUGUUUCAUGGAAACAGUCAAAGGUCCGGCGAUUCAGCUUUUUAAUUUCGCCGAGGCGAUUAGUAUCAGCAGGAGAUCGCCGGAGAAGCUUUUCAAGAUCCUUGAUCUCCACGACGCUUUGAUUGAGCUUUUGCCGGAUAUUGAAUCAGUCUUCGAUCUGAAAUCUUCUGAUUCGAUUAGGGUUCAGGCGGCGGAGAUACUGUCGAGGUUGGCGGAAGCGGCGAGAGGGAUAUUAUCGGAAUUUGAAAACGCCGUUCUUCGUGAACCUUCUAGAGUUCCUGUUCCCGGAGGUACGAUACAUCCGUUGACGAGGUACGUGAUGAACUACAUUAGCUUGAUCUCAGAGUAUAGACCAACUUUAAUCGAUCUCAUCAUGUCAAAACCAUCAAGAAACUCUACGGAUUCAAACACGCCUGAUUUUGAUUUCUCCGAGUUAGAGAGCAACAAAGGUCCAUUAGCACUACAUCUGAUUUGGAUCAUAGUGAUUUUGCAAUUCAAUCUUGAAGGCAAAUCAAAGUACUACAAAAACGCAGCUUUAUCGCAUCUCUUUAUCAUGAACAACGCACACUACAUUGUCCAGAAGAUAAAAGGGUCUCCGGAGCUACGGGAAAUGAUAGGAGAUCUUUACUUGAGAAAGCUAACGGGUAAGUUUAGGCAAGCUGCGACAUAUUACCAAAGAGCUGCUUGGGUCAAAGUCUUGUAUUGCUUAAGAGAUGAAGGAUUGCAUACAAAAGGAAGUUUCUCAUCAGGUGUUUCGAGAAGUGCGUUGAGAGAGAGGUUUAAAUCUUUUAAUGCUUUGUUUGAGGAAGUUCAUAGAGUUCAAUCACAAUGGUUGGUUCCAGAUUCUCAGCUGAGGGAAGAGUUGAAGAUCUCGAUAUUGGAGAAGCUUAGUCCGGCUUACAGAUCGUUUCUUGGGAGGUUCAGGAGUCAUAUAGAGAGCGGGAAACACCCGGAGAAUUACAUUAAGAUCUCAGUCGAAGAUCUAGAGACCGAGGUUCUUGACUUGUUCGAGGGGUAUUCUGCAACUCAGCAUCUCAGAAGACGAUCCGAGUGAGAGAGAUAAGUAUUUAUUUUUUUCUGCUGAAGUUUUAGAGUUUUUUUUUCACUGAGACAGAUUCUUUGUAUUCUUUUCGCGCAAUUCGGGUUCUUUGCGGGAGAGCCAAAAACCGAGCAAGAAAGAAAGAAGGAUUGAUGAUACAACUUUGAUUUAAAAAAUUUCAGAUUCAUGAGUUGUAAUGUUGUAUGAACUUUUAAUGUAUCUGUUUGGUAUGCUUGCCAAAUUCAUAGCUUAAAAUCUUUUUUUGUUCAUUUGUUCAUAUGAUCAAGUUGUAUGGUGUCAAUGUCAUAUCCGUUUUUAAGCUUAAUAGCCGUGUUGUCAUAGACCAACGCAUAGGAGAUACAAGAAAGAAAAACUAACUUUAAAUGUAUGUUGCAACAUAGGAUAACGAGAUUCAGACAUUACAUUGUGACAAAAACAGCGCACACAAACUAACACUACAACACCGAAGACAAAGACUGAUUAAGUCUCUUAACCUUUGUAUUGUACAAACUAAACUCACGUGAUCAAAAAGAAUACAUGUAGAAAAAUUGAGGUGUUGAUAAAGAGAAAGAAGUAUCAAAAGCGAUGGUUGUGACUACUGUCUACACUACUUUACUCUCUUUUAUCUUCCUCCAAGUCUUUUUCUACUUCUCCUUCGUCGUCUUGUGAAGGUCUGGUUUCUGAGAGGUUCUUGACUUCUUGAGAAGUAAUUGGAGAUGGUUUAAUGAGGGUUAGUGUGUAAUCGUCCUUCUCAAACUCCGCGCUUGUAUCUCCUGAAGAACCAGAGAAGGCGUACCUAUAUGAAGAUAAGGAGGGUAAAAACGAUUAGACAUGGUUCUAUUUGCUAAGCUGCAGUUUCAUUCACAUUUGCGCUCAGUUACUAUUGGUAACAACCGACCAACAUCAAACUUCAUAUUGAAUUUUCAAAUGUUCUUCUUGGAUACGGCGUUACCUAGUCGAGUUCUGAGAUGGAGCCCAGAGAGAACAGAUAACAAUUAGGAGAGAAAAGGAGAGAAGUUGCCAGAAGGCCGGGAUGAUCCAAGCGUUUUGCCAAUGUUCGUUGUAAACAUCCUUCGACUUGAAAUAAAGCUGCCAAUGACAAAAAGCAUUAGAAAAAAACUUAUUCUGAUUUUGAAUUCGAACAAGCCAAUGCUUUUUUCGCUAUUGAGAUUAAAGCCAUUUGUUUGUUAAUUUACCUCGUAGCAAAUCCAACCCAAGGAAACCAAAAUGGCUACAGCCAAAGCAUUUGUGAACUUUCUGUAUAUAUCCAACUUGACCAACAACCUUCUGGUCUGAAGCUUCUUGAACGUAGCAGAGAGGGAUUUGAAUAUCCAUAUGAUAAAGAAAGCAUCCAAUAUUGCAACAGGAAGAACAAAAAACAGACGAGCUUUCCCAGAGAGAUCGCUGACAGCACCUACAUUUUCCAUCAGCUCAAGAAUUUCAGACGCAACAAAGAAGGUGACACCGAGCAUGAUAACCUUUGAUGUAAAGCCCCCGAGCGUAGGCCUCACAACACCAUAGCCCAUUGAAACCAUCAAGAUGAUAAUGCGAGCACUUGUACGCUUGAUGGAACCAAAAGUGACUGCCCAGAUGGUGAUCACGGUUGGUCUGACCCCGGUCUCAUUGAAUUCAGCAUAGUCGAAAUACCAAAGUGCCAUCUCACACAUUCCCAGGGUUAUCACCAGAGUUAAGCAAUUCUGCAACGGAAGCACUUCUCUCCAGAAUCUAGCACACUGCGAGAACCAGAAGAUGCCAAGCAACACAAAAGCAAGCGACAUGAACCCGUAAAAGUACAUCAACGGAGCCAUUCUACCGGGUAGAUAUCCUGUAGGAUUUUUCCAAAUAGUUUUCCCUUCAACAACCAAAUCCUUGAGAUCAGAAUCACAAUGAAUGAAGUAGAGGUUGUACAUCCCGGUCUUAGUGACCUGGAUCGAUCUUGUUGGCAGCGUAACAGACAACUCAUUCUCAGGCAACGAAACACCAAACACUUGUGGCCAACCAGAAUCUUUAGCAGAAGGACGGUAAAUGACAUCUCCGUGAGAGCAAACACCAAGUUUGGCCAGAUCAGAUGUGCAGCACACAGCUCUUUGCCCACCAUAAGCUGAUCCUCCAAUGUUUUCCCGGUCCUCUACCUCAAAUACCACAGCGUGGAUAGGUAAUGAGGAUCUGUUAGAUACUUCCUUAGGUCUCUGAAACUUUAUCUUCUCAAACCUGUCAAUAGCAUUUCACCGUGAAGUUAAGGCUCACACAAAACAAACACAGAGUAUCAAACUUAUAACAGGAGAACACAGCUAAAGGAGUUACUCAAAGAACUGAAUCAGCUUGAAACUAUAAGAUCCAAACCGCCAAGUAACAAUUUUGCAACUAAUAGUGACCCAAUUGAAGAGCAUUCAUUGCCCUUUAAUGAAUUCAGUGAUUAACAAAUCAGAUCCUAAGUUGAAUUAAAAGAAGAAACUUUGACUGUUAAAUUACCGGAUAAAGGAAACGGAAUCGGAGUCGGAGUCGGAAGUGAAGUUAUCGGAAGGAGAAGAGGAGUAGAUGCCUUCACUGCCACCAUGGAACACAAAGGCGUUGCCUUUGGACAUGAAUCUCUCGCUUCGAUACUCAUGCACCGACGCUUGGACUUUCAAAGAUGACGUUAGACAUAGCAGAAGCAGAAGACGAAGUUGGAGCAACAUUGUAAACCCAAUUUCUUGCAGAGAUCUGAAGGAAGAGAACUGAUGACUGAAGAAGUCAGUGAGGAGAGCUCAGAUGUGUCAAAUCAGUCGGUUGAUCGGACGGCUGGUAAAGGUUGCUCCUUGAUCGUUCUCCAGAUGUUUGAAGGUUCUACUUCUACUAUGUUAAGUGUAGUUGGACUAGUGAAGCCUCCACACCACUUAGAGGGUCUAGUAUUUUAGUUCCUGAAAUUUUUAUGGGCCUUCGUGAGCCCAUUAAUUAUAUUGUGAUAUAUGGUCCAGACUCCAGACUGGAUCUUACUAUUUUUUUUUUUUUUUUUUGUCUGAGAGAAAGUAAUUUAUGUAUUGUUACUAUUGUAGCACCAAACUGUCAUGUGUAGAUUUUAUUUGUUGAGAUCAGGAAUGAACAAACAUAAAAAUUGUGUAUAUUGUUAGGGUUGUAACACCAUCUGAGUUUGAAUCAGGUAACUCGUAUAUUGUUAUUCCAAAAAAUAACAAAAUUUGUAUCAACAGUGUAAAAUAAUAUAUUGAAGACUUGAGAUCCAGUCUAAUCCUCCUAACAAGGGUAUUGUUUAUGAUUUUUUUUUUAUUUAUUUUGAAUGAGAAAGUUAUACAUAGUUGUUGUGAAAAACUUUCAUUUUCAAUAUCUUGAUUCAAAUCUCUCACAUAAAAUUUAAUUACAUCAAAAUUAGUUCAUAUAAUACCCCAAUUUAGUCUUUAUUUUCUAUGUUUUGCUCUUAUAAUAUACUAUUCACAGAUUCUUUAUGAAUAUCGAAAAGUUUAGUGACAUUCCUAGAAAAGAUUACAAAAUGAUAACAAAAAUUACAAGGCUAAGACAAAAGUUUUAUUAAUCUGAAUAGUUUUGUGUUACAAUAAGUAAAAAAAGAAAAAGAAAACAAAACAUGUAAAAAUGACUGAAAAAAAAAAGAAAAAAAGAAAGAGGAAGUAUGUCUCUAUAAACCAAGGUUAUCCACCUGAAAAUACAUACAUACAUGUAUGUGUAUAUAUAUAUAUAUCUAUCUUUACAUAUACACACACAUGUAUGCAUGCAUAUAAAUAUCUUCAUGUACUGUCUGAUGUUUAAGUUCCCAAAACAUGUUUGGUUUUUAAGAUCCAACCAUGCAAAAAAAGGGAUUCAUGGGAUCUUGCAGAUUACCCAAAAACUUUCAUCAGAAAGAAAAUGAAAUUGAUUGAUCGAUCAUUUCUUUGUCUUGAUGUCAUUGAAAGAUUCUCUAUAUAUAUCUGAGAAACAAAACAUAAUAUCUAAUAUCAGAUUCAAUAUUAUAGGCAAAAUGCAACUGAAAAUGAAACAUUUUUUAUUGAUCAGGUUAAUUAUUUACCUGUACUUUCUUGUAAGAACAUGAAUAAGGCAAAUGUGGAUCAAUAUAUUCAGAUCUCAAGAACAAUGACUGCACAAGAAGAAAAAUAAUCGAAUCAGUUCAUGUAUUUUUUUCUAUUUUGAUUUAUUUUAUAACAAACCAAAAGAUCUGAAAACUCACAAUCAGAAUCUGUUUUGACCCAUUUACCGCCGUCGCUACUACUUCUCCCUUCUUCUUCCUCAUUCUUCAAAGAAAGUUGUUGCUUCUCUUGCAAGUUUUUAAUCGUUGAUGUUUGCUUCGAGGAAGGUUGAGUGUUAAUCUUCUUGUGUAGCAUCGUUCUCAGCAACUGUAUUAUACAGUGUUAAUAAUCAAUGUCAUGUAUAAGUUUUAUUCUGGAAGUUAUGUGUUGUGAACUUUAAUUAGCGAGCAGUACCUUCUCCAUUCUAGAUUCUUGAAACGUGUCUCUCAAGCUAGGGUUAGGUACUGGGGAGAAACCUUCUGCACAUACAAACAUCUUCUUGAGGAGAUGAGAAACAGAGGUUUUGCUCAAGUCUCUCGUACUCUUCUUCGUCUUGUUCUUGCUCUCUGUCGAAAUGGCUUUGCAUCUUCCUAAGAUAACACUGAUCGUACGCUCAAUGUCUUCUUCCUUCUCAUCGGAACAAAGCGCGUUGCUGAUUCUUCUAUCGACCUCAAGACUCGAAGGACAAUUCAAGAAUCUAUCCAAAGGAAGAUUUGCCAAUUCUCUGUUCACGUCAGAAUUCCUCUUCUUGCUCCUCCUCGUCAAUAGCUUCGUCAGCUCCUUUUGUAGUUUCCCGACUUCCUCAGGAGUGAAAUCUUCUUCUAGAUCGUCGGAGGAAUAAGAAAGAUCUUGAUCUCUAUCUUGUGCUUGUUCUUCCACGUGCGUGUUAGAAACCGUCUCUUCUUGAAUCACUUCUUGAUCAAGUUUUUGUGGUGUAUGCUCUUUGUUACCGAAUGUUCCGAUCGCUAGUAACCCGUGAGGCCAAUCGCUAAACUCCUCUCUCGGUUGAUCUUGUUAACAGAAAACAAAAGAAAACUAUGAGAUCGGAGCCAAUCAAUGGAAAGGAGAAUGUUGGGAGGAGUAUUUUUUGCUUUGCACAUGUCCCAAGUAGACAGCAACUUUGGUAAUCAAAAUUUUUGUUCUCGACAAAGAAGUAGACAAUAGAAUCUUCAAUCUAGUUAAUUAGUGUAAUCUUGAACUUACGAGAAGAAGCAGAGGAUAUGCUUGGUCUAUGAGUAUUCCCUUGUUUCCCAUGUAGCUUGUUUUGCAUCCACCCGAAGAACUGAUAAAAAAAGACAAAAAGAAUACCAUUUAUGAGUUAUCAUGCUACACUAUUUUUGAAAAUAAGAACAAGACUCAUAGGAGUGAUUAAACGAACCUUCAUGUCUUAAUGACACAGAAGAAAAAAAUGGAAAUGGAAUAAUCGGGUUUAUGGUGAAUCAAGAAGCUUUAAAUACAAGUAGAGAUUCAAAGAACCAAAUAUUUUGAUAAAUUUGAUGGUUCAAGUUCCAAAAUUUGACGGCCUUAAUCGUCCAGAUUCACUUCUUCAAUAGAGAAAGCAAACAAGGAAGAGGAAAAAUACAAAAAAGAGUAAGAUAAAUCUCGGAGUUGGUUGGUUUGGUAAACUUGUGUUCAGAGAUAAAGAACCUUUACUCACACUCCUCUUUAUAGUUCAUACAUAUAUACAGCUCACUCACGACGUACGACUCAUAUUGACGCACAUGUCCCCAUGCAAACGAUCGAGGUCCAAAGAAACAUUCUUUUGUGCGUAUUUAAUUUGUAUUGUAGCUUAAUUAAUUAAUUAACGUUGAGUAUUAUAAAAUAUUAUUUGUGUAUCGGAGAGAACGUCACGGCUUUGAUCACGAUUCAUAUAAACGGCACUUCGUUUCAUCAAAUAGUCUCAUUUUACCAUUUUUUCGACUAUCUAUAAAAGGAUAUGAAAAAUGAUAUUGAAUCCCUAGAAACCAUUUGACUCGUUAUUGAAUGGUUACCACACUGACACGAAGAUGAAGAUGCUUCUACACAUUUUGAUAAUUUAUGUGUGUGAUUUUCGUGGAAAUUUUCAUUUUUAAUUGAUUUCUUGAUUUGUCAUUGUAAGAUGCUAAGAAUUUAUAAAAAAAAAAAUGUAAUGAAUUAUAUAUGUGGUAGAUUGAAAAGGAUAUGAGGAAAAAAGUUAUCAAAAAAGCUUUCAAAUGUCAUGCCGUACAAAUCAAACGUCAAAAAAUGUUUAUGAAGUCGUUGUAUAAUUUGUGACCCUUUUAAUGUGAAACGUAUUAUUGAAAAAAAAAAGUUGCAGUUCAAAGUUCUGAUCCACAAGUAAUUCUUAUAGCAAAAACUAUACAAUAUGUGUAAAAUAUCAUUGUAAGGCCAAGAUCGAAUUGUAAGGCUAAGAUCGAAUUCUAGAGCAUUUCAGAAAAAUCUAAGAUGGAAAGAGACAGAAAGAAAGAGAGAAAUUUUGUAAAAAGCAAUCAAACCCCACGAAGGAAACUCAUGCCAUUGUCCCCUUACCCAUCUAGCUAUACAAUUUAUCUAUAAUAUUUUACAUCAAAUAAUUGAAUACAUAUGUUGUGGGCGUGUAACGCAUUUUGAUCUAAUCAUCGAUAUAUCACACGUUGCAUGGUGCCACGUUCGUAUUACAAAGCCAUGUGAAAUUUAUCCUAGUUCCCGGAUGUUAUAAUGGCCACGUAAAUUCUUUUGUUUUUCUAUCAACCAAGUUUGUGCACAUCUAACAUUUAUCGACUUUGAUGUAAUGGUUUGACCACACAUAAACUGUUGGCGAUACUAUAAUGUGUAUGGGUCUUUUAAUAAAAAAGAUGCGUCGUUUAUAUUUUGUAUUGAUACUUGCGUUAAGAUUAUAUUUUAGGUUUAAAAGACGUCGAGUUAAAUUGACUGAAAUGAAGUACUACCUCAUUCAGUGAAUUUAAAAUAGAAAUAUAGUAUAUGGCAGGCGAAUUGAUUAUUGUGACAAAUAUUAGUAGAUUUGAUUGAAACCUACACAAUUAUGGAAAGAGCCAUGAGGAUUUGGUAUAACUUUAUCAGUCACAUGAGUGAUUGAUCGUUUGAUAGUGGAUUAAAAAUAGCCAUUAGUGAGUUAAGUUACAAAAUGCUCUUUCAAUCAUAAUUUCAUGGUUUCUCGUUAUUACUUUAUAAUUAGAAGAGAAGAGAAAAAAAGAAAGAGACAAUAGGAAAGCAAAAAAAAAAGCAGAGUCGCUUUAUCGUCGGAGAGAUGAGCCCACCACACCUGACACCACUCCCAAUCACGUGAACUCAGGUCCAAUCGACAUUCGCCACGUCGUGCCUGCCCUUGCCUUGUCCACUUGUCUUUUUAUUCCAACUUACUUUUAAUUGCGUUUUUCCAAAUAUUAGAAAAUGUAUUUGACGAAAUAAAAAACAAAUGUGAAAAAUAAUAGAAAAGAGAAUGUUAGAAAAUAUCACUUUUGGAAAGAAAAAAAAAAUUCGAAUUAUUUUAUGUUAAGAAAAAAAAACAUAGAAUGUUGAAAUAUGAAUUGUGAGUGUUAAAAAAAAAAUGUUGAAAUAUGAAUUGUUUAGUAAGAGUAUAUAUAUAACGAAUGAUUAUAGGUGAAUUACUUAUAUAUAAAAAACGAAUUAUUAUAGGUGAAAUCAAUAAUGAAAUAUGGAAAAGAAAUAAAAUUUAAAAUUAACAUCUCAGUGUGUUAAGUGAUGAACAAAUAUGCUAUUAUAUUUCUAUAUAAAUGAUAUCGUAAGAUAACAACAUGUAUUAAAUUAUGUAUUAGCAUGGAUUAUUUACGUAUAAUUAAAACAAAAAACAAAAAAAAAAUACUAUUAAGAGAACAAAUUACUUAUGUUUAGAUAUUUGAUAUUUCAAAAAAAAGUACGACUUGUAAAUUAUACCUAGUUAAGUGUAUUUUCUUUUACUUUAGUCAACUAUUUUUUUUUUCUUCAAAAUUGAUCAGUCUUAGACUUUACUAAAUAUUUUACAGUUUGUAUAGUUACUAUUGUAAGAAAAAAAACCCUACAAAUUCUUACAAGAGAGAAAAAAAGAACAAAGAAAUGGUUCGAGGAAAACGUAUCAUAAAGCUAAAAAGAGUCCAAAUAUGCAACCCUUUUCCCAAAAGAAUCGGAGUCAGGUUGACAUUGCUCUAGCUAGCCAGUAGCCAAAGAGGUGAUCUAUUAUAUAUGCACAACAUCCCAAGAGAAUCGUACCAUACUUUUUGUAUAUUCAUCCUCAAACUGUAUACGUAUAAAUACUAGAAACAUUGCACGAUAAUCAAAUACCACUACAAAAAAAUGACUAUAUUGUAUCACUUAAAUUGUAUCACAAAUUUAAGUGAUCUUAUUUUAAAUUACCUUUUAAUAAGUGAAGCAAAUAUAAAUAAUUUAACAUCAAUUACAUUACUGAUGCUAAUAUUAACUAAUUUUCAUCAAUUAUUUAAAACUGAUUCAAUUUCUAGUAGAUUGUAUCACUUUAAAAGAAAUUGAUGUAAAAUACAUAUUUACAUCAUUUAGAUAAUUGAUGUAUGUAUUUUUUUGAUAAAAUCGAUUUUUUAAAUGAUACAAAAUUAACACCAUAAAAAAGUGAUGCUAAAAUAAAUUAUAUUAAUAGCAUCAAUAAAUUACAUAUAUUUUUAGAAAAACGAGGUAAUUAGAAAAAAAUUCAUAAAUUAAGAUGAUAUAAUUUUAUUUAAAAUAUUACUUUUCGAAAUAUUUUUUUGUUUUCAUAAUAAUUUAAUUUACGAUUGUGUUCUAUAUUUUAAAUGUCAAAAAAUGAUUUUUACUUUUUCUCUAAAGUCCUCAUCUUUUAUUUAUUAUUUUCUUCAAUUAUGUUUGAUAAACUGUUUUAUUAAAAAUAAAAUAAAAAAUCAAAAUAUCACCAACUAACCCACGAUCUUUAGAACUCCUUUUAUGUAUAAAUAUUUUCUAAAACUUUUCUCUCCAUUUCACAAAACACAAACAAAAAAUAUGAAAAUCAUCAUACGACAAAAACUCUUCUCUGAGAAUUUUCAAAGAAGUUUUUCUUUCCAACCAUACAACUCCAGGUGAAUCAAUUUAUAUAUAGGUUUACAUUUCUAAAAAAUCAUAUCGAUAAGUUCAUCUUCUAAACCCUUUCUUCUUCUUCUUUUUCUCAUUGUGUGUUUAUUGGUUUUCAUACUUAAGAAAUUCUUACAGUGAAGAAGGACAAAGAUACUUCAAAGCAAGAGUUUUUUUUGAGGAAGAAGAUUUGAAGUUUUUUUAGAGGAAGAACUGAAAUUUCUCAGAAGAAAGAACAAUUAACAAAGGAAGAAGCAUGGAGUAAAGGAAGAUUGAUUANNNNNNNNNNNNNNNNNNNNNNNNNNNNNNNNNNNNNNNNNNNNNNNNNNNNNNNNNNNNNNNNNNNNNNNNNNNNNNNNNNNNNNNNNNNNNNNNNNNNUGUGAUAUAUUUGAUUAGAUUUUUAGUAGAUAUAUUCCAACAAGAUUUUGAGAGAAAAUAUCCACCAUAAUUUUGCUAUAUAUUAGGAAAAAUAACAAACAAAAAAAUAAUUAGUAAAUGUAUUAAAAUAAUUAAUAUUUUAAUUUAAUAAUAAUUAUUUCGUAAUUAAGUAUAUUAUUUCGUAAUUAAUAAUUAUAUUUUUAAAUUAAUUAUAUUAGUUUGUUUGAAAUUGAUAUAUAUAUAUAUAUAUAAUUGACAUCGAUUAUGAUAAUCCACACAAAUAAUAACAUCACUUUUACAAACUGAUAGGAAAUAUAGUAUCAUUUUUGAAAAUUGACUUAUUAUUAAUAUCAGUUAUAAGAACUGAUACAAUUUUUUUUUUUUUUGCAUCAGUUGAUUAAAAACUGAUGUGAUUUAUUUGCAUCGGCAAUAUAAGUAUCACUUUUAUAAGUGAUGUAAAAUUUCAUUGUAUCACUUAUAAGUAAUGUAAAGUUACAAAAUAAAUGAUUCAAUCCACUCAUUUUUUUGUAGUGUACAUUACUAUAUACAUAUGUGAUAUACUAGAAGGAGAAAUAUCGUAUUAGUUACGGAUUCUUAUAUGCAGAUCGAUGUUGGUAAUUAACUCUAAUAAUACAAAUUAUACAGCAUAAGAUAUAUGUAAAUUAAUAUAUAAAUUUAAGGGUAUGAAUAUAUUAUUAUCAAAGUCCAAUAGCGUUUCAUGUUACCAAAUGAACUAACAUCAUUGGAGGAAACAUGCAAUAUCUUUUAUUUGUCCCCAUGAAACUGUCUUCUUACUUUAUCUUCUUCUAUUGACUUCUUCUCCUCUCUUUGAUUGUGUAUUAUUAAGUUACUAACAGUAUCUUUAGAGAAAAUCGAGAUUUUAGUUUAGAUUAAACUAAUCACUUAUAACAUAUCGGAUGAGUGUUUGUGGCGACUUGAGUACUCUAAAUGGUGCAUUGGUAUAAAAGAAAUGUGGACGAAAAGGAUUGUACUGGACCACUUAAACCAUCAUUAUUGGAAAUAAUGUGUGGUUUAUAUGGUUAAUACGUUGCCUUAAACAUUUGCUAAUCGUGAUUAACAACUUUUGAGAUGUCUUUGUGAUUUUAAACAGAACACGUGUAAGGCAUCUGAAUAAUAUAUCUCCAUAUAUGCAACUGAUCAAACUACUGAAAGUAGUACCAAUGUACUAUAUAAUCUAGCAAAAAUAAAAUAAAAUAAAAUAAAGUACUCAUGUACUAUUACUAUAUAUACACAUGAAUUUUAUUUUUCGUCAUGCAACUCGUCAGCAUGCCCUUCGUUUAGGAUGUGAGAUUUUGUUUUUUUUUUAGGUUACAGAAUUGAUAAGUUGUCAAAUUACAAAAUACAGUAUGGCAUUAUUUCAAUUAACCUUCCCAAGUUUGCCUACACAUUAAAAAGUUAUUAUUGUAUUUAAUGAAAUCCCCAAUACUUUAUUGAUAUAAAUAUAUACUUUAUUUCAAAUAAGAUAGAAAUUUUGUAUGCGGCUAAUUAACUGUUACCACAAAAUAAUUUUGGAAUGUUAUUUGAAAUUUUGUAUUUAAAAUAUAUAUUUUGAAACAAAAAUGCAGUUUAAUAUAAAAAUUAUAAUGAAAGGAAAAUGACAAUACAGUAGUACAUGUUUUGUAAAAUUAGUGAGAAAACAAGUUCCACCAUCUACAAAAAUUGUUGUGAUUUCUCCUCUCUUUUUUUUUUUUGUAUGAGCAAAAUCUUUAAGUUGUUGAAAGACUCAUUUUUUACAAGUUUGAGGAUCAAUUACUUUAUAUUUAUUUGUUUGCCGAUCACACUAUUAUAUAUAGAUCAAGGUUUGAAAAUAACAUCAAUCUAUCAACUUCAGGCCUAAUUACAAUAUGUAACCCACAGGUGCAACUUUUUUUGCAAAUACUUGGAUCUCUUUUCUUUUAAUUUUUUUUUCAAACAUACUUGGAUCUCUUGAAAAAUGAUAUUUGUAUGUACCAUACAAGCGAUGGACAAUAUUAGUCUUAACUCUCGACUCCAGACUAUGAUGGACUGUUCUAUCUACAAUACUCAGGUUUUCGAUUAGCUUUACAUCAUUAUUUUGCAAGGAAGUGUAUUUUGGGGGUGUUUGUAGUAGUCGUCAAAUCAGAUGCAAAGCGAUUUAAAUUACUUAGCUAGAGAGAUGAAGUCAGGAAAAAGAAGAGAUGAGAGUUAUUACAUCGAGAUAAGAAAAAGAGAGAAGUAAGGAGAAGAAAAUGGGGGAAGCACGUGGAGUGAGCAUGACGAGGUCUCUUUGUGUUUUGUAACCUUUCCAUUAUACUACCAAAUCUUUCCAUUUCUGGAAUGUUUUCUCUCUUCCGCUUCCUUUCUCAAUCUACGCAACAACUCUCCCUUCUUCAAUGCCCUUUAAUCUCUCUUAUUUGUUUAAUAUACUAGAAAGAGAUCAUUCUCAUUGGAUCUCAAAUCUCUUUGUCUAUAAGUCAAAACUUUUACAGGCUAAUCUUGUUUGAGAUACUAUAUAUAAGUAAAACAAUAUUGGAAUCUGUUUGAUGUCUAUUGGUUUAUUGGUACUUGUUCUCUCAGUCGUCUGUCUUUGAACCUGAGCAUCGAAUUUGAAUUUGGAUAUGCACUGAUAUUAUGAUCCUCUUCCCAAUAUUUGUUUUACAAUACUAUGUGCCUAGUUGUGUUUGUAAUUCAUAUAUUUUGCAUACCAUCAAGAUCAUUAUACAGCUGGGUUCUAAUGUCUAGCUACGAGCCUACGAUCAGCUAUAUUAUCGUAAAUGGCAGCGGUAAUGUAAACUACAUAUAGAAAUAAGACUCACAAUGAUAUUAAUCAAAGUUUAUUACAAAGCAACAACUAAAUAUUCAUUUUCGUCCUUGAAAAAAAAAACGUUAAUAAUCAGAUCAUUCUCUAUCCUAUAGCUAGUCGUUUCUAUAAGUUAUGUUUGGUUCAAUAACGAGACAUGAUUUGAUGUGUUUUUUAGCUACUAUAAAUUCAAGAGCUGGUUGCUACGGUGUCGGAUCAGUGGUCGUCUGAACGAAUACUAAAAGAUGGUACAUAACAAAUUGGGUGAAGAAGUUGAUCAUCCCUUUCAGAUGAUGUUCCCUAACAAAAUCAUCAAAUAUCUUAUGAUAAUUCCUGUUUUAUUCGUUGUUGACAGACAGGUUUUUGUGCAACUAGUUUUGAAGAAAUUAUUCAAAUCAAGUAAAGCUUAUUUCAUAAAUUAGUAUAUUAAUUAGUAGUCAAAAUACAUUAGUCUUGUAACUUAGGAACAUGGUGUGACAUCACAACUUUAAUUACAAAUACAUAUAUUACACACUAAUUAAUUAUAUAAUUCUCAUUUUUUUUUCUAAGAGAGUAAACCCAUUAUUGAAUUUACAUUCCCUCCUUAAUUAUGAUUUUGACAUUGUCCUGAUUACUUAGAGAUCAAGACAGCCACAGACUUCGAAACAGCAACCUAUACACUGGAAACAAGCCAGUGCUGCACAGAUCUGAGAGAAGACUACGGUACACUGAUCGCUCACCCUUGACAUGCACUGCAAGCAGCACAUACAGCAAACUCGAUCCACCACUCCUGACGCAGCUCUUAUCAGAAGCUCAGCUCCUUCUGCCUCCUUCGGCUCCUCCAUCCACGGUGGCACGUUCUUCAACGUUGCCACCACGUUACCGAACCCAUACCCUUGUUUCCCAAGCAAACUCGUUCUCAUGCUGUUGUUCCUCUGCAUCUGCUUGUGGAUUUGGUACGGUGGGUUCCUUAGAAUCUCUUUGAUUGAAACUGGUCUUGUUAUCGUCUUCUCUUCCUCGUCCUGCUUUAAAGAUAAAACCAUUUGUGUGUAUUCGCUUGGAAACCCUGUUUGUAUACUCAAUCUCAUCACCUGAUCAAGCAAGAAAAAAAUAUGAGGUUAGUUAAAAAGAAACAAGACCAACAAUGUCAAAUCAUGACCCCUAGUACAACAACCUUCUCUUCUAGCUCUUUCUUCUCUUCGAACCAAGCUCGAGCAGUGAGUUCAUUGAUUUGUCUCCUCGCAAGAACCUGUUUUUUAAAGGUUAACAAAGGAGCUUUGUUGUGUUCCUAACAUUUUCGAGAUUAUAUGAAAGUAAUUAGGUAACCUUGUCUAAAGGAAUGUCUUUAGCCUUCUGCACUGCUAACUCUAUUGUGAAACAGCUCAAAUCAGCCAGUGUGCCUCUGAGUUCAAUUUCAUCUGGAAACUCUCCUUUGUAUCUUCCAGACAAGAUCAACGGAUGACCGAGCGUAAUGUCUGGAACCUGAGAAGGAAACAGCUGCAGAAAACAAGGAAAGACAAGAAGAAGGUCAAGAAACAAAACUCAAGAACUUUAUAUGUUUCAGAAGUUGCAAAAUAAGUACCUCCACUGAGCGGAGGAGCUUGAGAGCAUCAAAAGUGGUAUUGGCUACGAUCGUUGAAGAAGCUAUAUCGAAUAGUAUACUCAUCUGAUGCUCAAAUGAAUCUGGCUAGGUGUAUUGUUAAUACAACAAAGCAAGAAAUGUUUUUAGCUUCUUGAUUCUGAAUUAGUACAGCUAUAUUCGAACGGAUUAAAACUAAAGGGGAUUACAAUCUACCUGUGUUGUUCGUGCCAUCAUAGUAACCAUUCCCUAUCCGCGCUAACAUUUGCAAGAAGUAAUGGUUGCAAAAUGAACCUGUGGAAUUGUUUAUAAUCAAGAUUUUGAUAUUAUAUAUUAUGAGAGAGUAAGCAAGAAAAAGCAGAGUAUUCAUUUUUACUUACCAAUACCAAAGGUAGAUAUUCGAGGAGAAAUCGAUUUUCCCUUUUUGCUACAACAUUCUUUCAUAGCAUUACAUAUCUCUCUCUCGUUUUCAACAGAUCCAUCAGUGACAAGAUACACAAGAGGAACUCCAAUAUUGCUUCCUUCAAGCAGUUUCAUUGCCUAAACACACAUAAAAGAGUCUGAGAAGUCUUGACUUAUGUGUUGAUAAAAAUAUCAGAUAGUAAUAGAGAUAUCUAGAGGAAGGACCUGUUUGAGGGGAAGUAACAUGUUUGUUCCACCAUUUGCAAUCAAAUUACUAUCAAGCCAUUCAGUCACAGCAGAGAUAGUUUCAUCUGUUGCAAACUCCAUUGAAGUUGAGAACUCGAGAAUCUCAUCGUUGAAGGCGAUUAUGUCGAAAACAUCUUCAGCUUGUAGCUUACCCAAACACUCUAACAAGGCUUUCUUCACAUCCUCUAGCGGCUUCCAUUUCAUGCUUGCACUUAUGUCAAUCACAAACACAACUCUUCGUUUGAAAAGCUGCAGAUAACAACAACAUUGAAUUGAUCAUGUGAUAGUUCAGCAGAAGAUUCAUAAUAGUUGCAGUAAGAACAAACCUGCUUAUGCUUGGUGGUUCCAGGGAAAAGGUACAAACAGAACGUUCCUCUGUCAUCUGAAUCCCAUGGAGAUGGAGACUUAACCAAAACAUUACCACUCAUAUCACCAGAGGAAACCUGUUAAACGAAAAACAAAGCUCCAUCUAAGGAUCAAGAAGAAGAAUACAAAAAUCCCUCAGAGAAUCAAGAAACCUCACAUUGAAUGAAACACUAAAAUCAGUCCUUGACCAAGAUGAUACUUCAGCUUCAUACUCACAACUUAAUUUACCAGCUUCACGGUGAAUCACCUGAGAAAGAUCAUCACACAUCACUCAAUCCACACAGUACCAAUCUGAAAAUAAACUGUUAACACGCAAUUAAAAUACCUUUAGAGGAUGGCUUGUAUAAUCACAAGCUACUUCGCCGCCACUAACACAAGAGUUCAUGUUCAACACAAUCUUCUCUCGUUUAAUAAUCUCUUUGCCAACAGGAACCACAUAAGCAGGGAAUCUAAAAGGCACAAUGAGAUGAAACUUGCCGUCUCUGUAAAUCAAUUUCUGAGACCAAUUCACAUUAACCGUAAAGAUCGAUCCUCCAUCAACCUAAUAAAUUAUCAACAACUUAUUUUUACCAUUAUUGAUAUAAUAUCAAAAUCCCGAAGAAAAUAGCUAUAAAAAGUGAGACAAAGAACAAACAUGUGGGAUCUUGAAAGUAUAGAUAUGGGACUUGAAGAAACGAGAAUCUUUGUCUUUAUGAACGUUUUCAAAGUCAGAAGUUUCGUCUUCGGUAACUAGUUUGGUCUUGUAAGAUUUCUCAUUGCUCAAAACAUCAAUCUCAGCACCUAGAAGUGAGCCCUGUUUACACACACAAAUGUGUUUCAGUUAUCCCCCAAAAAAAUAAAAAUAUCUGGAACAAUGCUAUUAAUGGAAAGAUAGAUAAAAGUAGUCUUUUCUUCUUGUUUGUCGUUUUGCUGUAAUGAAAUUACCUUCUCACCCAUGGGAACACCGACGCAGCAGUCAAAGCGUUUGCUAGGCAUAACACAGUGAACUCUCCACCGUCCAGUGACGGUGACGAACGCCGUGUCUAGCCAACAGUCCACUCUCAUCUCAACUCCGAGCAUCUGGAGCGGGACGAGCGCCGAAGGAUCGCAACGUGCGUGAACGUACGGCUGGUAGCUAGGAACGUCGGGGUUAUCAACAGCCACCGGAUCUGUGAUUGAAGCGUAAGCCGUGAUAGCUGUCGGAAGAAAAUUCUCCGGGGAAGAAGGAGGAUCCGGGACAACAGGAGGAGUGAUGCCUUUGCCGUAGUAUAUCCUUCUUGAGAGCUUGAGACCUUGUUCAACUCGUAUUGCGAACUCUUCCGACAUUUUUUUUUUUUUGUUUGUUUGGUCUCCGGCGAUGAUGAGACUGAGAUGGGAAGGAGGAGGUGAAAGCUGAGAGAUUUAUCAGGUCCGUGUUUAAAGGGGGAUUUAAAAAUCGGCCGGUGAAAGGAACGGCGAGAAAAAGAUUUUAAUUAAGUGGGAUUGUGUUACCCAAUGGCUUCAAUACACGUGUAAAGCAUCCCUACCGCCACGACAGUCACGGAUUUUUUAAUUUUAUUACAUAAAGUAUUUAAUUAUAUACUAUAUAGAGAUUAAUUGUUUUAAUUUGGUUCGUUAUGGAAUACUUAGAGAUUCUUUUCUUUUUUUUCUCCAACAUAUAGUAUAAAAUAGUUUUAACUUUAUACUCAAUAAUAGUAUUCAACUUUAAACACAAUAAUAGUUUUUGUUGUGGAAAAAACAAAGAAUAGCUAACAUUAUUUGGAUGUAUGUUUUUUUUUGUCAAUUUUGAGUUGGAAGUUGAAUGUAAGUUUUAGCUUCACAAUUACAUUUUCGACAAACUAAGAUGACAAAAAGGUUUACUUUGUGGUUUCAUUCAAUUUUUACUAAAUAGAAUGUGUUUCUGAUAUUAAAAAAAAAAAAAAAGUCUGUUAACACAUGUGCAUUGUUGAAUAUUAAAGAAUUUUAGUGUUCUGUGCUGGAAAAAUAAAAGACUGUUUCAACCAUUUUAUUGUUUAAGAAUUCAGUCUUUCAAAUCAAGAAAAAAAAAGAAAGAAGCAAACCAACAGUAGUUUUAUGAACAUUACUAUCAAUUGCUCUUCAUUGAUUAUGAUUCCUCCUCUGUCAGUAUAACUCAACCACUUUUUUCUUAUCUUAUUUUUCUACUUCUCAAUCAAAUCAAAGUGGUUUGAAUACUGUAGUAUUUUGUACAUUGAUGUUUCAAAUCAAGUGGUUUGAAUACAUAUCUAUCUUUUUUACUCCCAACAUUUUAAUUCUUUAAUAAACAGUAUGAUUAAUGUUCAAUUAGUAUAUGUUACUUUUAUAAUAAACCAAAAAACUUUUUUCAUUCCACGAUUUUUAGUUUCAAAUCUUGCUUAAUAAUUCCAUCAUCUUUUUAAGAAAAAUUACGAAUUUGUAAGUUUAUAAAAAAAAAAAAACGUUUGGCACGUUAGUCACUCCUAAAAAUGGCAAAAAAAUAUCCCACUACCAAUAGAUCUUAAUUAUUUUGUUUUUCAGUUUUAUGUUUUCCAAUGUAGAAUUUACAUAUAGGAAAGAUGUAGAUUCUAUAUACGUAUACGUAUUAGUGUGGAGUUGGCUUUUGGAUGUUUCGGCUACCACACCAAAAUUAUCUAUAAACUUUUAUUCUAUGUAUAAGAAAUUGAUUGUGUAUAUAUCAUUUGACUACUACGUACAUAUAUCACUUUAUUUCGAUAAAUGAAUAAUGUAAGAAGAAAAAAACAGCUCUACAGAAAUCUCCGGCUCCACGUUGAGACCGGACCACGAUCGAUUACUCUCAAACGUAUAAAUUCGACGAACCAUAUCACUAGACAUGUAGGCCAUGUAACCAUUAAAUUACAAUUAUUACAUACAAAAAACAAAUCAACUUUAUAUCGAUUUUAUUCGUAUAUUCUGAUUUCUAGCUGCCUGUGAGUAAAUUAUAUGGGAUGCCUAAAAGAAAUACUACGAACAUAUGGUUAUUAUUACUCGUUACUCGUUAGCGUAUACUAUAAUAUAUAUAUCUUUGUUAGUGAUCAUUUAAUUGUCACAUUACUACUAAUCAAAAGUAUUGGUACAAAAUAGAUUCGUUAAAAAUACAAGUAAGUAAUUGAUAAUUAGCUGAGUAAAAGCUGAUUUUAACGGAUUGUUGUCUGCCAUGCUUUCCAUUUAGUAAUGCGAAUUAAUUAAAAUUGGGCAAAACUUUUUUAAUUACUCAAUAUUUUUUUUAGGUUUUGGUCCACUAAAGAUUUGAGAGACAACCCUACCUUAUUUAUAAAAUAAUGAAGUUGUAACCACUAACUUUUCGGCGUCGGGCCAACCAUUCCAUAACACUACUGCUGAGUGCUGCUGACAUUUCAUUUUAUUUAUUUAUUUUCCUACGUUAUGAUAUUAUUAUCAAAUUUUGUUUUGUUAUUUUCUUUCUGAUAUUCCAAGUCAAUAAGUUAUAAUAACAUUUUUAUUUUCAACUAUAUGUGUCAUCGAUCGGAAUAAAAUAGACUUGAAGCAAUCUUUGUUUAUUUAAAUCGUUUGUAUAUUGUCUUACUAAUCACUUCCCUAAUUGACAAGGUGAGUACAAUCAUUGGAAAACGACAUGAAUGUACGUGUCUGUCAUGACCAACUCAAUAUAAUUGUUUCGGAAAAAAAAUAAUAUUACCUAAUUUAAAAAUGAUUUAUGCUUUUGUAAGUAUUAAUAAUAAGUUUAUAUUCCCUCUAAAGUAUCAACAAUUAAUGUUUUACAAGUAUACUUUUUUUAUUGCUAGUCUAUGUUUAUAGUUUGUUCGUGUUUUCAUCUACAGCUUACGUAUCAUAAUAUCUGAUUUUCUGAAAUAAAAGAAUAUAAAGACACUAUUUAGCAAAAAAAAGAAAGAAUAUAAAGACACUAUAUACUCGUAUUUCGAUAUCAACACUAAGCAGAUAAUAGUAGUAGCUAACAUAUAAAACAACAACAACAUAUAAUAUUCUCUAAUCUGGCUCUCAGAGGCUCACACUUUUAACUGGGCCUUUACCGUUUAAAUGGGUCAAAUUAUCAGACCAAAUUGAGGCCCGUAAUACAUAUCAACUGGGACUUCAGUGUUUCCUUUCUCUUUACUACCAUUCAAAUGUUUAGGUUUCUGAAUCUAUAAACUGAUACGUCUUUUUGUAGAAGCCAAAGAGAUUGAGAUGGGUGUUUAGGAGACUGAAACUGAGACAGCAGAUUGCAACUUGUGGGCAAGAGACAAGGACUUUGAACGAAGCAACACAGGAUCAGAGAAAGCAUGCUGUGAUUCUGUGAAUGUAGCCAUUGCCACGGCUGUUGCAGCUGAGGUUUUCUGGAUGGCCGGUAACGCCUUCAAGAAGCGUUAUCCUGAUUUGGCUGCAAUCAAAAUUCAAAGUGCCUCCAGGGCUUACCUGGUCAGACACUCUCUACUUUAAAGCAUCCUAGUUUCUGUUUUAAGCUGUCUUUCAUGCAGUGUUUGAUCUUGUGACUGAUUACUAAACAGGCCAGGAAAGCGUUGCGGGCACUGAUGGCACUCGUAAGGCUUCAAGAAAUUGUCUGUGGCCGAGCUGUUAGGCGAAAGUUUUCUGCUUUAUUGAAAUCUUCACCCUCCAACAAAGCUUAAACAUCAAGCAUCAUCAAGAGAACACACAGAGAGAAAGCAUUGGUCCAACAUAAGAUCAUUUGACAGACUUGGUAAAGUUGAACGGGACCAUGACCUGCAUAUUAUUUCAUUAGCUAAAACAGACAUGAGUAACAUGUUCCUAUCUCAGUCCAGGAAUAUCUGUGAAGUUUGAAACACAGACCAUAUUAAUUCCAACUUGAAUUGCAGCUCGGGCAGAAGCUGUGUAGUUUGUAUGCCGUGGUGAGGAAAUCUUAUCAACUCUUUGCCAAUCCGAAAUGACAAAAACCUGCACAUAUCAUAAUAAAGUCCUUGACCUAAGAAUCUACACAUGCUCUAAAAAAAAGUUAUAAACACGACUCUACAAAAUACAUUAAGAAAGAGCAUUUAUUCAUUCAGAAAGACUACUGCCAGAAGACAGAGAUAUGAAGAGUACCAGAUUUAGAAGACUUUGGCAGAAGGUGAGAACUAAUAAGAUCUAGAAUACAGAAUGUGUAUGGAAUUCCAGUGGCUCUGACUUCGACUGCAGUAGCUGCUCCAAUCCUCUAAACCAGAUCAGGAUUCCUGUGAAGCUCAUUAGAAAAGAGUUCAGCAUUUAAAGUGGCACUCAUGAGAAUCAAUCUCAGAUCUGGACACCGUGGAAGAAGCUCUUUAACACUAUAAUUUAAGAAAUCUGCAACCAAGAAGUGAGGGGAUAAACAAUUAUGAUACUUGAUUUGCAGAAACCUAAACAAACAUAGAUAUAUAGAAUACGUACCUUCGGUUAACUCCAGUUUCAUCAAAUAAAGCUUAAGCAUAUUGGCUAACCGUUUCACCAAGAGGUUCUUCUCAGCUGACACUCUUUCUGAAACUGCCAUGGCAAAAAGAAAAACGAUUCUUUAAUAAAAAAAUCUUUGAUGAAAAGAUAAGAGGAGCGAAGUAAAGGUGAUGCAGUAAUACCUGCCAUCGGCAUACUUCUCCUCUGAAGUACAUUCUCCAUAACAUAACCAUCAAGAAAUGCAUCCGAACUUUCAUCCGGAAGUUCUUCUGAUACAUUAACCUUUUGGACUCCAUAAUACACAAAGGGCAGAACAAUUUAGCUAACACAAAAGUUGGUACCCAUCCACCUCCUUUCCAGGCUACACACGUACCUUCAAGAAACAUUUCCAAACUUAGUGUACCAAACUAUUAAAAAUUAUAUGGUUAGUUAAUUUCAAAUUUCCUAAGUGUAUCAAAUCUUGAAACUUACAAGUUCCUUUCAUAGGAAGCAGUGAGGAUUUCUUUGGACAUGAGCUCCAAUCUAUUACAAAACAACUUUGGCCAUGCUGCAGCAAUUCAAACAAUCAUCACUGUAAGGGAUAAUUAAGUUAGGAUCUGAUAUCGUUAAACCAUUAAGCUAUAAUAAGUCUGUACAAUUAGGAUCUGAUACAUUUACCUUUUGACCUCCAUAGGACACAAAACGCAGCACAAUUUAGCGAACACGAGAGUUUCUAUCCAUUCAACUCUUUUCCAGGCUCAACACAAACCUUCAAGAAACAUUCCAAACUCAGUUUACCAAACUAUAAAAAUUAUAUGCUUAUUUAAUGUUCAUUUUCCACUAAGUCUAUCAAAGCUUGAAACUAACAAGUUCCUGUCAUGGGAAGCAGUGACGAUUUUGUUGGACUUUGAGCUCCAAUAUAUCACAGAAACAACUUGUCUAUGCUACAGCUAUUCAAACAAUGAUUGCUGUAAGGGAGAAUAUAUUAGGAUAUGAUCUGAUACAAAAAUGCUAAAAUAAUUCAGUACAUUUAGGAUAUGAUACAUAUACCUUUUGGACUCCAUAGAACAGAAAGGGCAGCGCGAUUUAGCUAACACGGGAGUUGGUACCCCUAUCACCUCCUUCCAGACUCCACACAAACCUUCAAGAAACAUUCCAAACUCAGUUUACCAAACUAUACAAAACAUAUGUUUAGUUAAUUUAAAACAAAGCUUGAAACUUACAAGUUUUUGUCACGGGAAGCAGUGACGAUUUUGUUGGACUUUGAGCUCCAAUCUAUUACAAAAACAACUUGGCUAUGCUGGAGCGAUUCAAACAAUGAUCAAACAAUGAUCACUUGGAAAUAUCUAUUAAAAAAAGGAAAACCCUUUGAUCAAAAAAAAAAAAAAAGGAAAACCCAAAAACGUUUUUUCCUUUUUCUUAAAUCCACGCGCGUAACAAAUAUGGAAAAGUGGAAAUUUUCCUUUUCUUAUUAUUAGUAUUUUUUUAACUAUGAUUUUUCUAUUUUUGCGUUUUAUUAUUUAUUGGAUGCCACUUAAAUAAUAUGAUGUAUCAUUUCUCUUGCAACUAUGUAAAAUCAAAUUGUUUGACGGUAAAUUUGGUAUAUUAUUCUUGUAAAUAUUUAGCUUUUUUUUUUUUUUUUGCUUCUCUUAUGGACUAAAAGCAUAUGUGUGUUUAUGCUAGAACUUGGAAGUGUGUGUGUGUGUGGGGAUGGCCCUUUCCCCUUCACUUCCGGAACUUUUUUUCUUCUUCUUCAGGCAGAUUAUUAUUAUGCAUCCUAUCCUAAGUCAAGUCACGUCAAUGUCGACUUUUACAUGUGUAUUACGUGUAAUAUCUGUUUUUAUUUUCUGUAAACUAUUGUAUUAUGCAUUCCAGACCUUUGGAGUUGACCUAUUUUACAUUACACUAAAUAAAAAUCGGCCAGACUUACUCCAUGGAAUACCCAAACUCUAUGUUCUUUAAUAUCAAUGUCGCUACUUCUUCGUCAUUGAACCAUAGAGAAACAUUCCUAAUUCUGUUAUGUAUAUAAAAUGUGGAAACCAUAUAUAUAAUGUACUUAUUAUGAAAUGCUGAAAAGCCACAAUUUUCCGAAAUCAAGGACACAUCCACGACGAAUCUGUCUCUCUUUAAAAUUUUGAGUUAAUGAACCUAAAUACCAGUACAUCAAUCUAUCAUCCACGUGAAACACACUUUGAAGAUUUCCCAACCGAUGAUGUGAACGCUUUUAGUGUGACGGCCGGCUUCAUAAUUGACAUUUACAAUUAUAUGUUAAUGUUGUAUAUACUAAUACUAUUAUAUGUAUGCUUUGCAUUUGCAUAUAGGAUUCUAAACUGGACUAAAGUUAACGUGAAAGAUCUUACAGUUCAUAAAUUUAAAGACAUGUUUUCUAGUAUAUAUAUGGACGCUAAGAAUAAACAAAUAUAUACCUAAAUCAUCAAUCGUCUACGCUAUGUUAUAAUGAAACACAUUGGUGGCUUUAUAGUUAGUAACUUAGUAUUACAAAUUACAAUUACAAUUCCAAUGAACCUAACAAUAAAAAAAAGCAUAUGCUACUACUCGUCAUUUAGUAAACCUAUACAAUAUUACGGAAUUCUGCUUUUGUUUGUGUUAUUAUAAAAACUUAAUUGUUAUUAUUAUUAUUAUACAUGACGAUAAGAAUAAAAUUAAAUUUUUUGUUUGUUUAACUUUGUUUUUGAUGAAUCACUUUUUAUGUUCUCCUAUAGGGCAUUUUGGCUAUUUCUAUAUAUAUUCAGUUGCUUCGCAAUACAUAUUCGUCAAUCUGUUGCUUUUCUUUUGUCAACGUCGAUCUAUAUUGCUUCUUCUGUAUCAAAUGGAGUAUAAAAAAAAAAAUUAAAGUCUCAACCAAAAAUAAUAAUAAUAAUCAAAGUGACAAGAAAAUUAUAUAUUUUUAUAAACAAAAAGAAUGCAAGUUGCUAUUUCGUGAUUGGCCAGAAGGGUUUAUAUUGGAUCUAUAGGGAAUCGCCAACAAGGCAUAUCCCUUUCAUUUAAUUAUUCCACGCAAUCAUUCAACUAAAAAUUAUGAUUUAUAUACGUGGCCAUGAUAUGUAUCACACUAUACCUUUUCAUUAUUUAUAAAAUAGAAAAUAGCUUUUUAGUUGUUUUUUUCCCAAAACCCAAGCAUUAGAACUUAAUUUUAUUUUGAAACUGAGAAUUUAAUGUAAUGAUCCAUUUUGUGAGUUUUUAAAAGUCCAAAUCAGGCAGUAAACUCUGUUUAAGUUAGAGUUAAUGACAUGUCUUUCUAAUAUCGAAAUUCUAUAGUAGUAUAGUAAUAAAUUAUUACUCCUUGGAAUAUAUAUUUGGUUCUUCAAAAAAUCAUAAUUGUAUCUAAUCAAAUAAUUGGCAACUGUAUUGUAGACACCGCAUUUAACUAUUGGCAAACAGAGAUAUAUGUAUAUGAACCCAAAAAAAAAAAAAAAAAAUUAAGCACAAUUAACACGUACAAUUAUUAGAGAUUUUGACUUGGUCGUAUUAGAAUAGCAAGUUUCACCUAAUUUAAUAUACUUUCUUUCACAAUCACAAACACUAUAUACUGUAUCAUUUUCAAAAAUUGCAAAAACUAAAAACAAAGUUUGCUAAAAUCGGAAAAAUAUUAAGAUACAUAAAUGUUGUUAUUUUGAUACAUAAGCAAAAUGAAUGCCGUGAUUAACUAUGGUGUUGCCGUGAUUAAUAAAAUAAUAUUAAAUAUGUAGUUUAGGAUUGGUGUCAUAGACGACGUGGCGAUGCCUGAUUAGCUAAAUAAGUCAAAUGAAACCAAACCGAAACGGCUGAAAGUAAAAAAAAUAAUUGUUUUUUUUUGUGUGAAUAUGUUUGGAGAAAAGGUCGGUUUCUUCGCCAGCUGGCCUAGUUCCCAGAUCGACGGUGAAGAUUCAAAGUUGUCAGAAAUUUUAUUAUCCGACGUGGCUUAUAGUGUUUUUAUUUCCUCUGUUAAUUUUCCAUAACCCUUUAUAACACCAAUCAUUGCUUCUCCUUCGCCUGCACAUUCUCUCUCUCUCUCUCUCAUUCUCUCUUCAUAAUUCAUAUAUUUCCCAAUUCUUACCUUUUUUUUUUCCUUUCUGAAACGAGUUUUUGGUGAACUAAAAGGGUAAAUUUUUCCUAAUUUUGAUAUCAACAGAAGCCAGAAAAAAAAAAAAGAGACAGAUUCUAUAUUUUGUGUGUGUUUUUUGUGUGAUUAACUCUGUGUUUACAAUGGUUUUGUUUUGUGAAAUUUUUCUCGGAGAAGAAGGGAAUUUAGAAGACGGAGAGUGGAAAAACGAGUUAUAAUCCGUAGCAAACAUAAGAAACAAAAACAAAAAAAGUUUUUUUUUACUUUUUAAAAGUUUCUCCUCUGUUUCAGAAACAGAGACAAAUCAAGAAGAUCACUAGCAAAAACUUGCGUUGUCUUUCUCAUCUCCUUCCACUGGUAAAGUUUCUCUUCUUGAUCUGUUUCUAGUUUUGAGUUGAAGUUGGGAUCGGUUUGUUGAUUAAAUUCUCUCAACAGGGUUUUGUUUUUUCAAAAUCUAAGAAACCAUGUCGGCGAGUGUACUAAGUGAUCCAACAAUGCUAAUUUCAACACCAGAAGCAAUCAUCGUCUCGCCGGCGCCGGUGACACAGAUAUCCGGCGACGAGCCAGAGCCGGUGACGUGUGAGUGCUGCGGAUUAACCGAGGAGUGCACACAGUCGUACACAGAGAUGAUCAAAGAGCGUUACAUGGGUAAAUGGAUCUGUGGGCUCUGUUCGGAAGCAGUCAAGUACGAAGUCAUAAGAACGAAACGAUUCGUAACAACGGAAGAAGCUAUGGCAAGACACAUGAACAUGUGUAACAAGUUCAAAUCAUCAAGCCCACCUCCUAACCCGACAGGGCAUUUGAUCUCUGCCAUGAGACAGAUCUUGAGAAGAAGCUUAGAUUCGCCAAGAAUGCUUAGAUCCAUGCCUAGUAGUCCUUCCAAAGACGACGACCAAGAUCACCAUGAUUGUGUUACUUCUAAUGUUUUGUCUAGGUCUGAUAGCUGUUUCGCUAGUUUGACAUAAACAUAAGAAAAGCUCAUCGUUGAAUAAUUAAACCGUCGGUUUAGGGACCCACCUGGAUUAAAUCCGGUUUUCAGAUUUGUAUAAAUUUCGUCGGUAAACCAAAAUCGGUCACUGUAUGUGUUUUCUUUUUUUGCCGGAUUUAUUGUACCUUGUGGAAAAAUUUUGGGCUUAUACAACAACACUUGUUGAUAUGUUCCUUUCUCUUAUUCUUUCACCAAUUUGCUAAUAACUUAAGAAAAGUUAAACAAGAACAAAAUAAAAGAAAGAUAUGGUUUAUACUAUUCGAUUAGAGUUAUAUGAUUAAAAGAAGGAAAAGGAGAUUCUUGGAGCAAUUUAUCAUAUAGAAUAAUGGAAGUGACAUGUAUGAACAAAAACAAUCCAAGGUAGGGACGUUGCUUAUCUCUGUGAUGAUUUCUCUAUCACAUAAUGGAAAUGAAAAUGGUGCUUUUUUACGCCAUUAAUUAGACAUCACUUUUAUUUUAAUUUAUUUCCUUGCUUUUUUUCCUAGUUUAUUUUCUAAUCAUUCUUCAAAAACGUUAUUUUUUAAAAUUCAAAUGACUCUAUAUAUUGUAACGCAUGAAUAAGUAACAUGUACGUAGAAACGUUUAAUUGGGAUAUGUUUACUCGAUUAAAAACAAAAGAUUAGAUGGGUUGGUUGUCCAAUAUUCACUAACUCUCGAUAUAUAUAGUUUAUAAUAAUUUGGAAUAUAUUCUAUUUCUGAUAAAAACAAGAACUAGGAAUCCUAUUUGAGCAUAAUUGUAACGUGUAAGCACUCACAACUGGCUAAACUACAUUGAUUCGACGAUUGAUUCGAUAUUAAAUUUCGACUACUUAACCAAUAACAUUUCCUUCAACUUGCUAUGUAUCUCCUUAGAAUAUAAUCAAAGAGAAAUUGUAUCAUGGAAGCUGGAAGUGUUCGUUUUAAGGGAUCACAUGCGAGAUAUAAGUAUACGACAUACACAAUACAAGUUUCUAUUUAUGUGUAUUGAAAGUUAACAAUGAAUUUAUCCACAGCGAAAAUUUAAACUCGAAGUUUCAUUUUCUAGGUUCCUAGGUUAGAAAUAUCAAUAUGCAUUUGUUGCGUAUCGAUCAUAUAUAUGCCACGGGUCAACUUACCACUCUUUUGCCUAUUUUCAAAUCAAGUCAAUCGAUGUGUUGUUCUACUUGCUAGAGAGAAUUAUCUUAGGAGUUUAGUCGUUUACUUUCGUUCUGUUGGAACAUAUGUAAGGUAUGCUUUUCACUUAUUAUUAGAUGACACUUUCUAUUAAUGUGGUGUGUGUGUUUGAUAUAUAGAGCUCGAAACAUGUAUCUGACGUGACAAGCAAUAGUCAAAGAUAAAGAGAACUUGAAGUAAUGGUUACAAGUUACAAGGCACAACAACAGGACAGGAGAGAUGCGGCACGAGCAGAUGUGGCAAUUAGAGUUGUGCUGAACGCGAAAGCGUUUUCAAAAGAUACAAAACCUAAAUAUGCACUAACAUCACUUAUAAAAAAGUAACAAGUUCGAGAUGGUUCAAGUACGCAGAGCUAGCUAGUACUUGGGAUUAAGAGUUGAAUUCUAUUAAAAGUGCAUAGUUUUCAAAUUAUUUAUAUUUCUUAACAUCCGGCAAAUUUUAUAGUUUGCAAUUCUUUCUUACCUUAAUAUAUAAAUGGUAGUGCUCAUAGACCAUGAAGAAAUAUAGCAAACGUCCUACGGGCUCUGGACUUAUAGCCAAGUACCAACACGCGUAAGUCAUGUUAUGCAUGGCUAACGGAUAGCCCUUAACCAACACGCGUAUGGAAAAGAGAAAUUACAGAGAUUCACUGAAACGAGAACAACAUUUAUAUAAUAACGAGAAUACAACUAGAAACACAUAAAUAGUAUUAAAUUGCAAUACCGGAAACUAAUCAUAAACUUUCAAUGAACUGCUCAAUAAAUAAAGAGAUUUUGGAUGGUACGUUUUUCGUGAUGAUACAAAUUGAUACACUCAUAAAAGAUUUCACUAGGUUAUUUACGAUUAUACAAGACAAUUAAAGAGAUAUGAUGGUAAAGGAAUCUGUGAAGAAAAAAGUCUUUCAUUUUAUGUUUUGUUUCAGUUUAUUACAGAAGUUGGAUUUGAGGCUUAGAGCUAAUACGCAAAGUCGGGGAUCAUAAAAACGGACCGAAAGAACUUAGAGCUAAUAAGGAGACAACGUGUGGCUUUAAACCUACAUCUUGGAAGUCUUCAUCACCGACUCACCGAGGGUAGUGUAGUACAAAUAUGUCACUAGUUACCAAUUUAUUUCUUUCGGCUAGCUCAGUUUGUUUUUGAGCAUACUCUUCUUGGACGGUGCCACAUUGCCACUCGAAGCGUAAUGUUUUUUCAAUCCCUGGUUUGCUGGUAGGAGAACGUUAACUUUUAAGAAAUCAAUACUUAGUUCUUUUAAGACACAUCAAAAUAGACUAGACGAUAUUUUUUCCAAUUUUGUUAGACAUUUUUCAGUUUUGUUAGAUAUAUUAGUUUUACCAUAUAAGACGAUAUGAUCGGUUCAAUAGGGUUGAGCUAGUUCAAUUCUAUCGUUUCCAGUUUAUAUUUCUUGUAAAUAUUAUGAAUAACAGACAAAUAUAAGCUACUUUUUCUUAUGAAAAAAAAAACAUAUAUCUUUUUUGACUCCGCAAAAAAUUAGUUCGAGCUUUAUGUAGUAUAAGAAAAAUAAAGGACUCGAUCGUGCGUGGCCCAUAUAUAAAUACGUCCACGAAAAUGUGUGGCGGAUAAGAGUCUCGCAUUUAUAUUUCACAUGCUAGCGCUUGCACCCUUUUUUUGUGUUUAAACUUUAAUUUGAAAAUUUACAAGAACAAAAAUAAAACAAUUUGAACACCAAUGGUCUUUGCCAUUGAAACUUAUAGCUGUAACUGUAAGGAGAGUCGAAAUGAAAUAUUAUUCAAACGUGUCAUGAUAUAUUAUUCAAAGAAUCAAAGGUAACCCGUACGUUAAUUGUCAAACUAGCUAGAGACAGCGUAUGUGUUAUACAAAAAAUAUAUUGAUAUCCAGCUCUCUUUUUUUUUUGUCUGUGUUUUCAACUCAUAUUUUCAUAUUUUUAUAUAUGUUUGACUUUGUUCCGCCUGUCUGCGGAUUAUAAUUUCCUUGAAGUCGUAUGGACUGAGUAGCAUGGCUUUGUUUACGAAGCCGGAGACAAAGCCUUGAGAGUUAACCAUUAUAAUAUAAUACGACCAUGCUCCCGCUACAUCCAACAGAAUAAUUGGUCACUGGGAUUUCAAUUAUAAUUUUAACGCGACUAGUUCAAUAUUGUUUUAGUUAAUGCCGAAUUCUUAGACUACCAAAAAACAAGUUACGUUGAAAAACUAUUUCCAUUUCCACUAUAUUUAUUAGAUCAUCAUAGGACAUGUAUAUACUAUCUAAUUAGGUGUGAAUUAAUAUGGCGUCCAAGACUAAUAAGUUAAUCUAGUCGUAUACUUGUAUAAGUUUAAAACCUUUUAACGAAGUUUCAAGAGGCGGCGCGUGGCCAACUUCCUCUACCAAAAUGGUGGCUAUGACGACCUUAUUCUUAUUCUCCUUCCUUGAAUACUCUACAAAGAAAAUAUUAUCCCUUCUUAAAAAUUUGAACGUUGGUUAAGUUAUACAGAAUCUUAAAGUUCAACAUUCGUUAUAAACUAUAAAUUAUGCAUAGAUAUGUGUUUGCUUAUGUGUUUUGUUAAUCUCUUAUUACAAGAAUUAGAUACCGUGCAUGAUUAGUUAAAAUUAAUAGGAGAAAUUAAUCAAAAGAAGAGAAGAGAUCUAGGAUUAACGAGCCAGCCAGCUAUAGAUGAAAACGAACUGAAGUUGAACUUUUGAAACGUCCUCUUGCAUGCAUGUAUAUAUCAUGUAUGCCAGCUUAAUUAGUUUUAUAAUUUAUGAAGACGAUCGGUACAUGCAUGACGAAUAUAACUUUUGAUUUUGAUAAGUGCUUGCGUGCGGACAUGCAUAUCGACAGUUUGUGGAUAAUAAACCAAAUUAUAGCUUCGGAUCAGAGAGAAAUUUAUGAAACAAAUGGAUGUUAAAAAUUGAGUACAUACACAGUAGUAAUCUUAACUAAACGAUGUAUUAAACGCAUGUUAAAAAAUUCCGAUAUAAAUGAUUCUAAAUAAGAAAUAUGAGCUCGAUAAUUAUUUUAUUUUCCACAUGAUAGUAUAUAUGUCCGGGACAUGUUCAACUUUCUUUGAUGGAGCGCAAGAUAUCAUAUAUAAUUACCAUUUCAGGUUACUUUUAGAAUUAUUUCGUUGUAAUUAUUUUAUACAAUAAUAUUUUCUCAUGGAGUAUAUAUAAUAAAUCCACAGUUUCAUUAAAACGAUCACAAACCGAUCUUCAAAGUCCGAUGCUCGAAUUAUUUUAUUUACUUCACUUGUGUUGUGUGUUUUUUGUUUUUAUAUAAAUAUAAAUAAAGUAAAGGGAUAUGUAAACUUUAUUUGACGAGCCUUGCCUCCUUGGGAUAUAUCAAUCACCAUUUCAGGAAAGACUAAGGACAAUACUGUCAUUUAAUAUUUAUUAACUUCCUCCUUUGCUUCCUUUUAACCCUUUUUAAGACGCGUUCGUCUCUGACUCGGAACUCAGUUUGACUUAAUUAGCGUAUCAUUUUUUUUGUUAAGCUUUUUUUUUUUAGUAUAAAUAAAAAAUACACUUGCAACUUUUUUUUUUUUUGGGUUAAAAGUCCUUCUUUGCAACUGAAAAAAAAAACUUUUGUAAAAUUUCUGUGAUGCAAGUCAUAUUUUUUCGGAGGUGUCAAUAAUUCACUUUUUUUUUCCUUUUGUAUUUAGUGAAAGUGUUGAAAGUUAUCUAAUGUUGAACAUUGAAGUGUCCUUAUUGUUCAUAAAAAGAAAAUCUAAGAACAAGUUUAGUUUUGAAUAGUUAUCUUCGUGUUUCAAAUAUUUUGUUACUAAUAAUAGACGAAUAAAAAUAUGAUUUGACGAAAGGAAAGAAGACAAGUAACUCGGAAUAUUCCAAUUAAAAAAACGUGUGGACGGCGACAAAGCUCUCUUUCCUUUUGGUCUCUCUUAUCAGUCGCAUAAUAUAAAUAGCUGUGACCUGCCGCUUCUUUAGUAAUCAGAACGCACCAAAUAAAUAAAGAAGAAAAGCUCUCAAACUCAUUCUUUGAAAGCCUUUCUUUAUAUAUUUCUUUUUCUACCAGCUCAUUCAACUAAACACUCAGCUUUAUAGAUUAGUUAGUUCUACUAAUUAAUUUCAUUUGUUUAAAAUGGCCUUAGCUAAUGAGUUAAUGGGUUCUCGUCUCAUUUUCGAGAGAUCGUCACUUCCGUUUCAACCGCGUUUCUCCACCAAGAAGAGGACACAGAGGACGCACUUCUCCAUCAACCCUUUUGAUCCGAGACCGAUGAGAGCUGCUAACUCAGGUAGCAUCGUGGCCGCCAUCAGCGAGGAUUUGGUUAAAACGCUGCGUAUUAACACCGUCGGUAGGAAACAGGAGAAGGAUGAAAAUAAGGAGGAGGAGAAGACGGUCAAGUUUAAGGUGAGAGCUGUUGCGACGGUGAGGAACAAGAACAAAGAGGACUUUAAAGAAACUUUGGUUAAGCAUUUGGAUGCUUUUACUGAUAAAAUCGGUAGAAACGUCGUCUUGGAGCUUAUUAGCACCCAAGUUGACCCAAGUAAGUCAUUUAAAAAAAAAAAAUGAAAAACAAUUUUCAUUUUUGAGUAUUUUUUAAAUCUUGUAAGGUCAAAGUUUGAUUUUUUUUUGUUUUCUUGGACUAAUUUACCCAAAAAAAUUGUCAAACUUUGUAACAGAAACGAAUGAGCCAAAGAAGAGUAAAGCCGCGGUAUUGAAAGACUGGUCAAAGAAAUCGAAUUCAAAGGCGGAGAAAGUCCAUUACACAGCGGAGUUCACGGUUGACUCCGCCUUUGGUUGUCCGGGAGCCAUCACGGUGAGCAACAAACACCAAAAAGAGUUCUUCCUUGAGAGCAUCACCAUCGAAGGUUUCGCAUGUGGCCCUGUUCACUUCCCCUGCAACUCUUGGGUCCAAUCCCUAAAAGACCAUCCAUCCAAACGAAUUUUCUUCACUAAUCAGGUAACUAAUUCAAUCUUAAUUAAAACGCAUUAAAUGUGAUCGUAGAUAUCAUCAUAUCAUGGUGGGUCCAAAUGUCCAAAUAUUGUCUUUAAUUAAACAAAUGUGACGUCCAACUAUAUAUUGUUUGGAUAAAAAAAUUAACUGUUGUUUGAAUUUUCCGCAGCCGUACUUGCCGAACGAGACACCUUCGGGUCUACAAAAAUUAAGGGAGAAGGAGUUGGAGAGUCUAAGAGGAAAUGGGAAAGGAGAGAGGAAACUAUCAGACAGAAUCUAUGAUUAUGAUGUCUACAACGACAUUGGGAACCCAGACAUAUCUUCUGAACUAUCCCGUCCCACAUUUGGCGGUCGUAAGUUUCCUUACCCUAGACGCUGUCGAACCGGCCGGCCUUCUACAGACACGGAUCUGAUGUCCGAGAGACGGGUGGAGAAACCGUUACCGAUGUAUGUGCCAAGGGAUGAGCAGUUCGAAGAGUCUAAGCAGAACACCUUUGCUGCGUGUAGACUCAAGGCUGUUUUACACAACCUUAUACCUUCUUUAAAAGCUAGCAUCUUGGCUGAGGACUUCGCUAACUUCGGUGAGAUCGAUAGUCUAUACAAAGAAGGCUUACUUCUCAAGUUAGGGUUUGAAGAUGAUAUGUUCAAGAAGUUCCCUUUGCCUAAGAUCGUCACUACCCUCCAAAAAUCUAGCGAAGGAUUGCUUAGAUACGACACUCCUAAAAUAGUUUCAAGUAAGCACAUUUUUAAUUACUUCUGACAACUUUUUAAUUAUACGUCAUUAACUCGUUUAUCUACAUGAUACUACGAGGUUCGUAAGUUUAACACAUGUGCAAUCACAUGCCGUUGAAGAACCAAUCAUUACCAAUUUUUCACCUUUAUUUUAUGGUUUGCUAUAUAACCAACAGUGAAGUGAAGCUUCCCCUCUUAGAUUCCCUUUGUUCAAGAAAUAUGAUUCACGUGCUUAAUUCGUUUGUUUAUUUGUUCUUCCCACUAAACGUUAAAUUUCGCUAUAGUGGUGGUAGUUACAGUUAGUUUGGGGAUAAUUAAUUAAAAGCGUGUUUUUGUUUUAUGCUUACUUGAAUCAUGUAGUUUAAAGAAAUUAUCUAAUGACUCUUUUUUUUACUUUAAUAUAGAGGAUAAAUACGCGUGGCUUAGAGAUGACGAGUUCGCACGCCAAGCCUUAGCUGGGAUCAACCCGGUCAACAUAGAACGAGUCACGACUUACCCACCGGUCAGCAACCUUGACCACGAAAUCUAUGGACCUGGUCUUCACUCCGCUCUCACCGAAGACCACAUCAUCGGUCACCUUGACGGCUUAUCCGUACAACAAGUACGUAUAUUUAUAUGAUCUCAAUAACUCUCACAACAUUUACAAAUAUUUAAAUUACUGAUUUUAAUCUUUCUUUUUAACUGAACUUUAGGCGGUGGAGACGAACCGUUUGUUUAUGGUGGACUACCAUGACAUAUACUUACCAUUUCUAGACCAAAUCAACGCGCUUGAUGGACGUAAGGCUUACGCGACUAGAACCAUAAUGUUCUUGACCCGUCUCGGUACACUCAAGCCUAUAGCCAUUGAGCUUAGCCUUCCUCCACAAUCAGGCUCAACCCGAAAGUCCAAGCGCGUGGUCACACCUCCUGUAGACGCAACCUCCAACUGGAUGUGGCAGCUAGCCAAGGCCCACGUUGGGUCCAACGACGCUGGUGUCCACCAGCUUGUGAACCAUUGGUUACGUACACAUGCGUGUCUGGAGCCGUUUAUAUUAGCUGCUCAUAGACAGUUGAGCGCAAUGCAUCCGAUAUUCAAGUUAUUAGACCCUCACAUGAGGUACACUUUAGAAAUCAAUGCCGUCGCACGACAAACUUUGAUCAGUGCGGACGGUGUGAUUGAACAAUGCUUCACAGCUGGUCAAUACGGUCUAGAGAUUAGCUCCGCUGCUUAUAAGAACAAAUGGCGGUUCGAUAUGGAAGGUCUCCCUGCUGAUCUCAUCCGAAGGUAAUGUCUCAUUACUCUUGAAAAUGCACUAAACUAAUUGUUAAGUACCUCAAUUUAUAACAUACUGUUACACUAAAUGUCUAAAUCUAACGAAACUCAUAAUACUGUAGAGGGUAUAGUAAUAAACUAAUAAUGGAUAUAAUAUAGUAGUACUAGUAAAAUAGAUAUUUUAUUGUCUGGUUAAAUUUGGUUUUUUCCUAUUUUGUUUUCAUAUAAAAAUUGUUGUAUAGAAUCUAACUUUUUUUUUUUUUUUAAUUAUUAAUUUUCAGGGGAAUGGCUGUUCCUGAUCCAACAGAACCACAUGGUUUGAAAUUACUUGUCGAAGACUACCCAUACGCCAACGAUGGUCUCUUAUUAUGGUCAGCAAUCCAAACUUGGGUCCGAACCUACGUGGAACGUUAUUACCCAAACUCGAACUUAAUCCAAAACGAUUCAGAGCUCCAAGCCUGGUACUCAGAAUCUAUCAACGUAGGCCACGCCGACCACCGCGACGCCGAGUGGUGGCCGAAGCUUUCCACCGUCGAAGACCUCGUCUCCAUCAUCACCACCAUCGUCUGGCUCGCAUCCGCACAACACGCCGCACUCAACUUCGGACAAUACCCUUACGGUGGUUACGUCCCGAACCGGCCACCGUUGAUGCGGCGGUUGAUUCCCGACGAGUCAGACCCCGAGUUCGCGAGUUUUAUGGAAGAUCCUCAAAAGUAUUUUUUCUCGUCGAUGCCGAGUUUGUUACAGACGACGAAGUUUAUGGCGGUGGUUGAUACAUUGUCUACGCAUUCGCCAGAUGAGGAGUAUAUCGGAGAGAGACAACAGCCGUCGAUAUGGACCGGAGAUGCUGAGAUCGUAGAUGCGUUUUAUGGAUUCUCGGCGGAGAUAGGACGAAUAGAGAAGGAGAUAGAUAAGAGAAAUAGUGAUCCUAGCCGUAGGAACCGGUGUGGAGCCGGAGUUUUGCCGUAUGAGUUGAUGGCUCCUAGUUCUGAACCUGGUGUUACGUGUAGAGGUGUCCCUAAUAGUGUUUCGAUAUAGAAAUACUAAAUUUUUAAGUCUAGCUUAUUAAGUAAAUAAAUAGAUUUUCGAAGCGAAUAAUCUGUAGGGUUUAUUUGUUAAUUAAUAGUUGUAAAUAUAUUUUCAAGAAUUUAAGAGAACUUUAUUAUAUUGAAAAAUUGUGUGUAGACGACAUAAAUAUAUAAAGUUUUAUUCAUAAAAUUCAACUCUAAUCACAUAUGUGACUAAAAUUGUGGCUAAGUUAAAAUUGCCACAAAAAAAAAACCAUUGUUAUGUUUUUUCUUACACGAAAUUUUUUAUAUGAUCUUAAGAGAUAUAUAUUGUACUCACUCAACAGUAAUUUUAUACUGUGUCCCGUAAACUAAUACCACAUGAUUUUGCCAUUUUGGUAAUCAAAACUUCAAAAUAAAUGAUAAUAUAACACAGACAGUAAUUUGGAUUUCCAAACCAAACCAAACCAAAAGUUGGUUCACCUAAGGUUUGACGUUAUUGAGGUUUCAUCGUUUAAUGUUGUUGGACCAAUUUUAUCAAUGGCGAGCAUUAUCAGAAAACCGUUAAACUUGACGGCGGCCGUCCGGUUUCGACUUCCUCCGUUGUUUCCGUUCUCCGGAAGCUCUGGUUCCGUUAACUCGGAUGCGACUCGUUGCUCUGAGAUGAUACCGGUGCCAAGUUUAGUAGAGGGAUGCGAUUACAAGCACUGGCUUGUACUCAUGAAGCCUCCCAAUGGAUACCCACCUCGUGAUCACAUCGUCCAAGGCUUUGUCAGAACCCUAGCCAUGGCUCUUGGGAGGUAACUAAUACAAAAAAGAAAUAUAGUUUUAGCGAUAAAUUGCAAUCAAAAAGCAUAAAAAUCGAAGCUUUUUGGUAUAUAUGAUUUUGAGGUUACUUUGUUUGUGUUGUGUGUGUAGCGAAGAAGAAGCGAAGAAAUCGAUAUAUUCUGUAUCCACAAAGUACUACUAUGCAUUUGGCUGCAGGGUUCAUGAACCUUUGACUAACAAGAUCAGAUGUAUUAUUACAAUUUUAAUCUCGUCUUCUUUCUUUGGACACUUUUUGUUCAUUUAUUCCUAGUUUUGUGGCAAAUGCUGUAACUUGUGCUUGUAUUUGAUUGCAGCUCUGCCUGAUGUCAGAUGGGUUCUACCAGAUUCUUUCAUAGUUGAUGGUGACAAUCGAUAUGGAGGUUUGCUUUGCUGCUUAAGUUUUGUUUCUUUUCGUUGGCUCUGUUGCUUGUAUGAAUCUACAGAUUCUGUGCUCAUUCUCAUAUAUCUCAAGAUUUUUAUUAACCUAUAUAUCUCAAGAUUUUUAAGAUUCUGUGCUCAUUCUCAUAUUGUUGGGUUUCUUUUGUGAACAAAAGGAUGUUUAGCCUUUAAAUUUAGUACCUGCAGCACUAUUUUUUUCCUUCCCUUGGACAUGUUUCGUUUUCUGCAGGAGAGCCAUUUGUCGAUGGAGAGGUUGUUCCAUACGAUGAGAAGUAUCAUGCGGACUGGCUACGAGAUCAAACUGACGAGGAUGCUAAGAAUCGAGUAGUAAAAAUAAAGCCUAGGAGGAAAAGAAAGAAAAAGGCGAUCUAGUUGAAGAUAUUUGGUAUUUGGAAGUCUUCUUGCUUCAGUGUGGCACUCAAGACUGAAGAUUUUCUGGAAUGACUUCUAGUGUUUACUUAAUAUGAGCUGUUGUAAAGAAUCCAAGGUGUAAUGGUAGUGAUAAAAGGUUAUUCAAUAUAUCAAUCAAUCCAAGAUAUUGAGUAGAUUCCACUUCAUUGUCUAGCUACUGAACUUAGAAGCUAACAGGAAUGUGUCUUCUAGUGACUGUAGAGAUUUUAUUGCAUAUAUAGAAUCAUAUGUUUCAGUGAAUCAUAGAACUUGAAAUUACGUGAUGAUGUAAGCCAGUGCCAGUAGUUGAUCUGUAAUUUUUUACUGAGAUAUCAUGGAAAUUGGAUAAUCUAGUUUCGUUUAGCUCUUUUGCAGAAUCACCACAGUUCUCUGUAUUGCUUCAGUUGUCAUUACUGUUAGGUAUUGAAGUCUCCAUAGAAAUAGACUGAUCCACCAAAUGGCUACUUCUUAUUGUUCGUUUGCCAAUCAGGACCAUAUAGAAAUUAGAGAAGACGAAAGCAACCACAGAAGAGUUUUCCUACACGUCUUUUUGAGUGGGGUUUGGUAAGAUGAGAAGUCUUUCUUCAUGACCAAGGUAUGUAACUUAAUCUUGUCUUCAUAUUAAACUAAUUUGUCUGAAUUUGGAGCAUGCUUGCGUAUGUACCCAGAUUCUAAAACAUUGACUAGGAACAACAAGCUUACCACUGAAAUUCUUAGUUGGUGAACUACAGUCAAUUUAGGAUUUGAUGUUGAGUCUUUGUGGUAGAAAAAAAACCAAGUAAUACUGUCCCUUUUGAACACGCAUACAAUUCAGACUUAUACAUCUGAGGUUACAAAAUUGAAAAAUGACUGCUAAAUAUCUAUUUAGCUCACUUUUUAAGCUAUGUUUCUAUCACAACAUUUGCAGAAUUUCAUGAAACCUUAUGGUAUUUUCAUUUAUCUAACACAACCUUUUUGGUAUUUUCCCUGUAUACUAACGUAUCCUAAUAUCUAUACCUGUAUAAAAAUUAAAUAAUUUUGUAUUUUGUUCACCAAUUUAGUUGGCCGGGGUAUACAAACUGGUUCCUAGACUCUUGUACAGAGCAGUGUCUGAAUAUACUGCACGAGACCUCAUUGCCUUGUGUUUACGUCUGUUCUUUCGACCUGCUUGACGUCGUGGACAGACUUUUAUCUCCUUCUCUGUUUCCUCUUUUACGACUUUGACAUCAUCUUUACAUUUGAUGUCAUGAACUUCGUUUGAACCUGCCACUGGAACUAUGUACACAAACGGUCCGUUUUGGAUGUCUUUGAGGUCUAAGAUAGGCUGUAGGGUCUUGACAGCAGUGGUCAUAGUGGGUCGUGACUUAGGAUUGUGGCUCAGGCAUUGGUAAGUUAAAACCGCUACCUUCCUGAUGCCUUCAACUGAGUAUUUCCCUUCGAGACUCGGGUCUAUGAUCCGUUCAAGCUUGUUGGGAUCCUUUAACAUGGGCCUUGCCCAUUCCACUAGGUUCCUCCCUCUCUUUGCCCGGUACUUCUCAACUGCGUUUCUAGCAGUUAGCAUCUCUAAAAGCACCACCCCGAAACUGAACACGUCGCUCAUUGUUGUCAAAUGACCUGAAAUGCAGCAUGAAACAUGUAAGCUAAGAAUGCAACGGCUAUGUGGUUUAUAACAAGUAUUCUUAUCCUUAUGUUGUUUAACCUGCUGAGAUGUAUUCCGGAGCUGCAUAGCCUUCUGUGCCCAUUACACUUUUGGUAAAGCUUGAGUCUCCUUCCUCUGAUCCAUCUGUGGCUAAGCCGAAAUCUGAAAGCUUAGAGCUGAAGUCCUGUAAGUUUCAGAUAUGAGAUUCAAGUUAUUUGACAUGAUAAUAGAUAGUUGGUAAUGCAAAAUAAGAAGAGAAGCAUUUGAAUUACCGAGCUCAAGAGGAUGUUGGAAGGCUUAAAAUCUCUGUAUAUGACAGGUUUCUCUUGUUUGUGAAGGAACUCAAGGCCUUUCGCAGCACCAAGUAGAAUCUUCACUCUUGUUAACCAAGGCAAGGCUCCACCAUACUCUGCAUUGCACCAAAUAGUACUGAUAUUGUUAGUAAUCUGUAUCUCUAUAUCAAUUAUUUUUCAAGUCUUUUUUUUUUUCGAUCUUUUAAGCGACUCACUUUGAAAUAAAUGUUCUUCCAGAUUGCCUCGUUCCAUGUAUUCGUAGACAAGAAGCCUGUGAUCAUCCUCACAGCAGUACCCGACCAAUCUCACCAGAUGGGGAUGCUUCAACUGACCAAGGAUUAUAACUUCAGCCUGCAGAAUCCCAAAGAAACGUUUUUUUUUCUUUAGUUUUGAUGAUCCCAUUCUGGUAUGAGAUGUAACAUAUAAUACUUGAAAUGUGAUUUAUGAAUAUGCAGAUGGAGAAAAAUCAUUACCAACCACUCUCUAUGUCCUUGUCCACCUUCUCGUUUCAAGGCCUUAACAGCAACAGGCUGAGCUUUCAAACCAGUCUUGAGGGUAUCAUCAACGAAACCUUUGUAGACUUCCCCGAAUCCUCCUUCACCGAGGUAAUUAUACUUUGAGAAGCCUUGUGUGAUCGUUUUGAGCUCUUCGUAGGAGAAGAUGUGAAUGUUUAUGAGGAAAGAGUUUGAGAAGUCGUUGAGUGAGAUGGUUGAAUUGCUGAAAUCCGACAUGUAGACUUUGCUUGGAACAGAGGUUUGUCUGGAGAGCAGAAGAAGUCUUUCCUUUGAUGGGUUUGUUGCAGUCUUCUGGUUUGUGUUACUGAUGCAGCUUAUGGGAAGACAUAUAUUCUUCCAAGAAAAUCUCAUUGGUUUCAUCUGCAACUGAAGGGAGCUCUCUGUGUUUUGUCUAUACUAUGUUUAAUGGCUUGUAUUAGUUUCUUGUUGCUGAAUGAAUAUAUAUAGAGAUUAUGAAGCUUCUUUGAAAAUUGUUAGAAAGUGAAGAGAGAGAGGUGAGAGAGAGGUGAAGACUCUUUAAAAAGUAAGUCUCUUAGUCUUAUAAAGCCAUCCAAGAGGGAUGGCAUUUGUUGCCACUAAGUAUAAUAUCAAAUGUUAAUAAUAUACAAAUGAGUAAGAUUUUUCUUAAACUAACUCUUUCGUUAUUUCUGCAAUUUCACACUUUAUGUUUUUAUUUGGACACAAAACUCUAUUUAUGAAGUUGCAUAAGAUAUUUUCCAAACUACCAAAAACAAAGUUUCUGUUUCUAAAAUCAUUCCAAUUUUUAGCUUACUUUUUUUUUCCUAUUUAAUUUCAACCUAAUGUUUUGGUUAGUUAUAUGCUAAUUUAGACUAAAUUUCUGAGAAUAAAUUAGCUAAGAGGUAACGCUGGCAAAACAAAAAUAGUUGAAGAGGUAUCUUUGGAUCUAAAAACUUUGACUAUCUCAAGCCAUCUCAUACUCUAAUUUUUUGCUAAUUGGACUACCUAUCAUACACUUGUAAGUUGUUAAUGAAUUGGUUAUAUUAAAUGUAUCAUAUAUUCAUUUUCAUCUAGAAGAAGAUGUUGCUUCUACUAAAUAUAUUAUGUUAGUUCUGUCAACAAUAAGAUUAAUCUAGUUGGAUUAACAAAAUAAUAAGAGGUUGGAUUAAUUUGUCUGUCAUUGUGAAAGUUUGGAAUGUAAUCCAAUACCUUUGGCCAUUACCAUUGACUUAAAACAAUUGUCUCCUUUGUUUUCUCCGUUAGGCUGAGUUGUUAAAGAGAAAAUAUACAAUCACUAUUGUCAAAUCUAUUUGAUUAGUAUAUAUAUAACAAUUGUGGUUAAUAUAUUCAGAAAAUGAUGAAAUUUAUAGUAAUCUUUUUAGAUACUGUCAUGUACCAUUUUUUUGUUUAACGAUUAAGAUCGAAUUUAUGCAAGUUUGCUUUUUAUAUAGAACUAAGAGAAUUCCACUAAAUUUUGCAUAACUAAUUAAUGAUUCCACAAAAUCUUACUCGUGUAUCGUGUGUCACACUUAAAAAUAAUAAUGUUGCAUGCGCAAGAAAAUUAUGUUGAUUUAUAUUUUAUUAUUCGUGGAUGAAAUUCAAAAUACUACGUGGUUAGCCGUAUGAGAUGGUGCACCAAUCUAUAUAUUUAUAUUUUUUUUUCAAAAAAAAAAAGAGUAGUUAUUAAUAAUAUACGAAGAGGAGGGAGAUUUGCUUUUUUUUCGUUAAGGUCAAUUUGUUCAUUAUCAUUUAAUUUACUUUUCAACAUUUUAAAGCUUUUUGAGGGCGACAUGGCAACAACUUUAUGCCAAAUAUUUUAACCCUCUAUUGAAUAAUUCGUUUCUUAAUAACAUACUUUUCGCUAACCUAGUCUCUCUUUUUUCUUUAAUCCUAUAAACUAUAGUAUCAUAUGAACAUAAAGAGUAGUUUCGUAGAGUUUUUUUUUUUUUUUUUUUUUUUUUUUUUUUUUUUUUUUUUUUUUUUUGAGGAAUCUGAUUUUAAGGAGACUUGAAAGAUAUAAUAUAAAAGUUACGUAGCCUAAUCUCAUUGUAUAUUAUGUAUGCUCUUUAACAAACAAAAAAAGUUGGCUCAAACAAAGUCGCCUGUGGUGGUUGAGUUGUUUGGGGUUUUAUGGAUACAACUCGUGAGAUUUGGA